UUUUUUUUUUUUUUGGUAGUUUUGAUGGUUUAUUUAACUAUUGUGUGAAUUUGAUACAGCUGCGUUGUAUUUUUAUAGUCGAAAUGUUUUUUUGACUGUUUUGAAUGAGCUAGUUUAUUCUGAAAUCUGAAUUAUGAGCUAGUAUACAGUGUGUAAAGUCUGUGUCUGGUGUGCAUUACUUCUUGAAAAUGUCCUUAGAUUGUUUAUGGUAUUUAGUAUUUACAUUCUUAGAACCACCAGGCCGCCCCAUUUAUAGACAUUUGAUCUUGCCGUAUAAGUAUGGACUAGUCAUAAGUAUAUGCAAGUUAUUAUUGGCGUGAGUCUGAGUUUAUUUUGGAGCGAAUAGAGUAGCAUCACGUCUUCAAUUGUUGGCUCUGCCGUUGAACUUUAGAAUUUUUAUGGAUUUGCUUAGAGACAGUGUUAUCAAAAACUAAAAGCACAAAAAAAUGCUCUAGGUCUGUUGGCGAUUAGAAAAGGAAGCAAAAAAAAAGAAGCUCUAGGUCUGUUGGCAAUUGAUGCGCAAAUAAAGCGUGGGCUUUAAAGAGAAAAGGAAGUGCAAAAAAAAGCUCUAGGUCAGUUGGCGAUUUAAGCGCAAAUGAAGCGCGGGCUUUAAAGAGAAAAGGAAGCGCAAAGAAAAGCUCUAGGUCUGUUGGUCAUUUACGUGCAAAUAAAGUGUGGGCUUUAAAGAGAAAAGGAAGCGCAAAAAAAAAGCUCUAGGUCUGUUGGCCAUUUACGUGCAAAUAAAGCGUGGGUUUUAAAGAGAAAAGGAAGCGCAAAAAAAAAGCUCUAGGUCUGUUGGCGAUUUAAGCGCUUUAAAGAGAAAAGGCGCGAAUGGAGUUAAAGAUUAGAGAUACAGACAUAUAUGUUUAAUCCAGGAUUUAAUAACCACAAAUAUCAAUAUCAAAUAUAUGGACAAAGAGAUUGAUUUUUUUUUUCCAGAAAAAGUAAAAUAUUAAUUGUUUAGUGCUGCCUCUUAAUGAAACGCUCAUUCGCUAGGAAACGUUUGUUUUAGAUCCUUAAUGACAACACUGAAGCGGUGAAGCGCACAUUAAGUGAGGCAAAGCUCUAGACGUGUUUUGACUGAAGCUUUCAACAUGCUUUGAGCGAAGCGCUCAACGUGUUUUGAGCCUCACUUCAGGGCUUUUGGGCUUAAUUGUGAGAAUCCCGAGAAGCACCAAUCUAGGAAAGCCAAAGAAGAUUAUUCAUCAAUGUGAAGGGAUUUCUAUCCUCACAAAACUGAGGAAGACAAAUUGAAAGUGUUCCUGUAUUUUGUUUAGUCUAAGGUGUUGAUACGAAAUGCAUACUUCAUUUACGUGCAGUUUUUAUCAAACCUUGUUAGAGUAAACCUAGUUCUAUUAUCUGCAUUCAAUUCUAUCAAAAUAUAUUACCAAGUUCAAUGCAUUUUAUGGUAGGUGGACACUUAUGUUAUCGUCUUAUAUUUUGUAUGCCUAGUCUUUCCGCCAAAUACUCUAAUUGGUGGUAAAUUGAAUGAUUGGCAUGCUGCAGCACAUGGUAUAUCGGUUGUCAGUAGCCCCUGAGAUUUUGUUACUAUGUUGUCAGUGUUCAGGCAAGUCCUUAGGACCCGUUUGGCCAUGAAAACUUAAAACGUAUUCACUCUAUUUGUUUUUUUUUUUUUGAAUUUGAAAAUGGAGUUGAGAGUUGUGUUUGGCCAUAGUAUUUUCAAAAAUAUUUUAGACUUUGAUUGUACUUUUUUGUAAAGUAAUAGGAAAAAUUGUGUGCAAAAAAAGCGAGAACACCUUAAGAGGUGUUUUCAAAAAAAUAAAAUAAAAAAUUGUGAUAACAUAUUCCGGAAUACAUUUUUGGUCUUCAUGGCCAAACAAGUAUUCCGGAAUAAAGUGAAAACGUAUUCCAGAAUAUUCUGAAUAAUAUUUAUGGCCAAAUGCCUACUCAAUGUAUUACACCGUCGUAGAUGUUGUUCAGUGUACACUGUUGUCAAAAAGUACCUAUUUGCUCUCUUUCUUUUAAUAUUUGUUGAUUUAAUGCUUUUGUUUUUUGUUCAGUUUCCAAAAAAACAAAAAAUUGAAACAGUUUCCAAAAAUCCUUUUGUUUUUUCGCCAAGUCUAUGUAGACCUAUGAAAGAUAAUGCAAAAUUAAAGAAAAAGUUUUUUGUAGGCAAUAUUAAUUAGUUGGUAAUUAUGUUUUAGUCAUGUUAAUAUAGCAUGUACUUUAGGUCAUAUGCUUUCGAGGAGUCGGCCAUAUCAAAGAGUUUUAUUGCAAGUAGGAAAUAUAGAGAACUUCUAGUACUUUUAUUUUUAUUUGUGUUUUGUGUAGUUUUGGCGUGAGAUGAAUUUAAAUGGAGAAACAUGGUCAGUGAGGAUUCAUAUAAAUUCUAACCUAUACAAUUUGUUUGUGACUUAGGCAUAGUAGUUUUGUAUUUUUUCGUUCGCUGCAAUAAGUUUUCAUUUCAUUAUUUGUUCUUAAUCUAUCUUGAAGAUUCUACACCGAUGCUGAGAAAUGGAGAAACUGGAGAUUGGAUUGGAACAUUUGAAGGGCAUAAAGGAGCAGUGUGGAGUUGUUGUCUGGAUAAGAAUGCUCUUCGUGCUGCAUCUGCAUCUGCCGAUUUCAGCGCGUAUGUUAUCUAACGGCUUCACUUCAGUACUUUGAAAAUAAACAUUUAAGUGACAUUUGUAUGGAGACAUCAGUCUGCAAGAAGUGAUGUAGAACAAUAAUAGUGCUUUUGUGGCAUGUCUAUUACUGGCCGAUCUUUCAUGUCAUUAUCUACAUAGAUUUAUUAUUAAAUAUCUAAUAGCAUAUUGAAUAUGGUAGAAGCUUCGUCAUCCUUUUUAGAGUUCUCCAUAGCUUAAUUGUCCCUUUUUUUCCUUUUUAUAUUGUGUGAUUUGUGUUGGUUGUUUUUAGGAAAUUAUGGGAUGCAUUAACUGGGGAUGUUUUGCACUCAUUUGACCACAAGCACAUAGUUCGAGCCUGUGCCUUUUCAGAGGUACCUUUACAACCAUAUUUCCUUUACUUCUAUAAAAGGUCUUUCGGGUUAGAGCUUUAUAACUUCACUUAAGUUGUAGUAACCAAGCUAUGAUAUCGAUUUAAUAGAAUACUAUUGUACUGCUAUUUUCUGGUCUUUGUUUGACACAUGUAAAGGGUCUAAUGAAUGUAUUUCUGUUCUUUUAUAACUCUUUUUUUUGAACUUUGCAUCUCCUUGAUGCUUUAAUAAUGAAAUACCUUCAUAAAACAAUAGAAUACUGUGACUGUAUAUGCCCAUCAAGGCUUAUGCAUAUUGGCAGAAAUCACACUUCAUUGACAGGCAGGCCACACUCUUGGGUGCUCAUGUAAAGUCUCCUUAUUUUAGGUUGAAAAAUAAGAGCAGAGAAUGCCAAUUUCAAUUAUUGCCAAGUCAUGAGAGGCUACUGCUAUUGAAAGGCAAACAUCUUUCAUUGUUAAAAACUAACUGAGAUUUUUUCAGGCUUGAGUUAAAUUCUCUAGUCAAUUCUAUGUGAUGGGAACUUAUCUUCCUUUUCUUUUUUUUAUCAGUACACGUGUCAAAGGGACUUCAGUCCAUAUUUAUCUUUCCCAUUUAUUGGCCUUCACAUUCUGAUAAUUUGUAUGAACUAUGUGUGGCGAUUUUGCAGGAUACAAAUCUGCUGCUCACCGGUGGUUUUGAAAAAAUUCUUCGGAUAUUUGAUUUAAACCGACCAGAUGCACCUCCAAGGGAAAUUGACAGCUCUCCUGGUUCAAUUAGGACAGUUGCUUGGCUGCACAGUGAUCAAACUAUAUUGAGUUCCUCUGGAGAUGCUGGUGGAUUGAGGUAGGCUUUCAAAAGUCCGCCGACUCUAUUUGUAUAUUUUGUUUAUGUUUUUCUUGCUGGUUGCAUUAGUGAUGUGGGCCAUGUGGCUAGUGCUCAUUGUCACUUAGACAUAGCAAGUAAUUGUACAUGCUCAAAGCUCAGAGGUUUGAUAAAUUGGUUGCUCACUGUCUUUGCCAAUACAAUGCUUGGAUUUGUAGAUCAAUUCACUGCGAAUAUUACUGGAUACUUGAUACAAAGGCCACACAUGUGGUUCAUAUUUCCGUCAUGAACUUUCACUCCCCCAGUAGUGCUCACUAUCUUAAAUUGGUUUAAUUUAAUUGUUGUAACCUAGGUUAUGGGACGUGAGGAGUGGCAAAGUUGUUCAAAUCCUUGAAACUAAGUUUCCUGUAACCAGUGCUGAAGUAAGUCAAGAUGGUCGUUACAUAACAACUGCUGAUGGUUCCUCUGUCAAGUUUUGGGAUGCUAACCAGUAUGUAUUUGUUUUUCAUACUUUAAUGGCACAAAGAUAUUUUAAAUAGAGAAUGUUGCCACAGUUUACUUUGCAUUUUAACCUUUUUCUUUAAAAGCAGCUUUGGAUUGGUGAAGAGCCAUGACUUGCCUUGCAAAGUUGAAUCUGCUUCCCUGGAACCAAAGUUCGGUAAUAGGUUCAUUGCUGGAGGAGAAGAUAUGUGGGUUCAUGUCUUUGAUUUUCACACUGGAGAGGAAAUUGGUAGGUUGUAUGGGGCUCGUAAAUAUUUAGAAACUGUAGUUACUCUGAUCAGUAUCUUUGUUUAUGUGUUCCUUUUUCUGGUUAUUUUUUCCAGUAUUUGCGUUUUCUCAACUUCACUAAAGGUUUUGCUUCUCUUUCCGUUCAAGCUUUAACCACAUGCUAUAUUCUGUUUCUGUACAACAUAGGUUGCAACAAGGGACACCAUGGUCCUGUCCACUGUUUGCGGUUCUCCCCAGGGGGUGAAUCCUAUGCCUCAGGAUCUGAAGAUGGGACUAUUAGAAUAUGGCAGCUGGGCCCUCUUGGUCAGAUUGAGGACAACGGGUCUACUACUGCAAAUGCCAGUGGUGAUGGUAUGGGUGAGGUGACCCAAAAGAUUGACGAGUUGGCUGUUUCAGAAACAAAGAAGACUGAAGGGACACAUGUUGAUGGUGUGGAGAAGGUAGUUGAUACCUGAUUAGGAGUUUUAAGGAUUUUGUAUGGUUUCACCUCUUGGAAAGCUUGUUUGUAACUUGCUUGACUUGUGAGGUUUUUUCGUAUUAAAUUAAACUUAAAGCUUUUGAGAGUGUUGGCUAUUCUUUUCUUGGCCGUGGUCCUAAUCAUCAGUCAUAUAAUCUAUGGAGUAGUUGUCUCUGUCAAGCUGAGAGAGGUACACACCUAGGUAGCUCUCUUCUCAGGUUCAUGACGUCCUUGAAUUUGCAAUUGCUUUUAAAAACCCGUAGGAUGUCCGAACCAGUAUAGCCGCAUACCUAGGAAGACUCUAGUAGCCUUUUAAGCCGCACACCUACGUAGCCUCAGAGCCUUGAAAAUUUUAUUUGUGCCCGUUUGUUUCAAUGUGUUGGUUCUUUUAAUGUCACGGGUCAGAGUUUAACUAGUUCUUCAAACUUUCGAUGAUUUUCGUGUAAUUAUAUUACAUUUUGCUUGAGUAACCCUUUCUGUAGUUAAAACUUUUUAGGCAAUGCAGUAAAACUUUGUAGUUCGAUGCACUGGUUAAUAUCUGCAAUGCGCAUUUGUCAGCAGCAUUGAUUCAAAGUGCCGGAAUGCAGAAUUCGACAAUGAGGCAUAGUAAAUCACAGAAUAAUGCCAAUAAAUUCGUGCGAGAUUGAUGACCAGCAUCUAACUCUCAGUACAUUUUCGCCUAUGAUCAGCAAUUGGAGCUUCUUGAAUUUAUAUUUUCCGCGUAGGGUCUUUACAGUAUAGUUCAUGUACUUUAGUUUCUUAAAAAAAUUUCGCAGUUUGUUGUUAUAAAAUUAUAACGGGGAGAUGACUCACCUUUUAUUUGAGACGAUAAUUUCGUAAUUGUGUAAAAAAUUAUCAUGAUUUUAAGUAAUAUCUAUAGGCAGAUAUCACUAAUUUAAUCCCUCUGACCAAAAUGGACACCUAAAGUUUGGUGGUUGGUUAGAUUGUUAAGAGUCGUGCAAAAUUUAAUUAUUCAUGUAUUUGUUAUUUAUUUUUUAUCCACACAAAAUCAUACAUUCUUUAAACAUAUUUAUACCUGUUUAAUUAAUGCGAGAUGGUAAAAUAACAAGAAAACACCGUACAUAAUAUACUAAAUUUUAUACAGAACAACAAAAGAAUCACCCAACAUGACAUUAAUUAUACUAAAUUUAGUACUUUAUUCAUUCACUUUUAUUUGUUCACGUUGCUCUUUACACCUCAAUUAAGAAAUAAUGAUUAAUAUGAAUAUUUUAUCAUAAUAUUAAUUUAUUUCUAGGUUCCAGUCUUUAAAAAAUAAUUAAUUACUCUCUAUGUCUCAUUUUAUGUAUCGUCAUUUGACCGGACACAAAAUUUAAGAAAUAAAUGACGAUUUUGUGAAAUUUAUAAAAUUAUCUCUCUUAAAUUUUUAUUUUUAAUUAUUUUUCUUAUAAAAUAAGACUCUAUAAAAAUAAAAUAUGAAUAAUACUAUUAAAUAGUUAACAAAUAAAAAAAUAUAAUACUCUCUUUGAAAAAGACCCAAAAAAAAAAAGCACACAUCAAAUGGAAGGGAGGGAGUAAUAAUAUUUACUAUUAAGAAUAAAAAAAAGUAGGAAGAGUGUACGAAUAACAGUGAAGCAGCAGUAGAUGGAAAAAUAGUCCUUCCUAAACCGGCCAACCAAACGACCCCGUUUAUGUGUCGUACGUAUUAACACGCUAUAUAUAAUACUUAGGAUCCCGAGAGAAUUGAGAAGCAGGCAUGGUUGAAGAAGUAUCAGAAAGGGUGAUGGGUGAUUGUUCAACCUCUUCCAUGUCGUCUAAUUUGAGUGAGGUUUUUCACUUCUCAUCUGGAAACCCUCGCAUCGAAGAAACAAGAGGAAUCAUGCAUCUCUUCUCCAACAACCACCUUUCUUCUCACUUGCCUGUAUGUAUCCUCCUCUUCGUAUUCCAAUCCUUCUGAAUUUGAACUUUUAGUAUUCAGCAUUUUGAUCUUAUUUUGUUUUCUCAAAACUGUUGAUCAAUAAUAGGUCUAAGUUGUGUAAUUAACAAAAAAUAAAACAAUGACUAGGGAUUGACUAUAUGAAUCGGUGUUGAACCUUUAGAAAUGAAGUCGACUUAUCUAGUUCCAUUGAUGUUGUCUCUAGGUGGACAGAAAGCAGCUCCUUUGUGUGCUCUUUGUUCCGAAUCACAUGACGUAUGCGGACUUUUGUCAGUUUUGUGGUUCAUUUAUUCAACAUAUGUUGGAAAUGCGAAUUGUCAGGUACUCUAUUGUAGAUUUUGUGAGGUAUUUAUUUUGACUGGUUGGACUGUGAUUCGUUCUCAACUUUGGUGUCUUGUGUGUACUCCUCUAGGAACGAUGGAAUGGAAGAUUGUUACAGUAUAUUAAUCAGGUUUGAUCAGCAGAAAGCUGCUGAUACAUUUCACAAGCAUUUUAAUGGUAGAAAAUUUUCAUCUCUUGAGGUGUGUUUGAUCAAUAGUUCUCUCCUGCUUUGGCAUCGUAUUAGGUAUCUCAUAGCAUCAGUUUCAUGCUCCGUUCUUGUUUGUUGUUUCUUUGCUUGCAGGAAGAGACGUGCAAUGUCCUUUUUGCUGCUGAUGUUCAUUACACUGGUUCAAUUGAACAUACACAGUCCACACCUGCAAGCUCUACAGAGCAACCGUUCUGCGCUGUUUGUCUUGGUAUUUACCUUAUCUAGUUUCAAAAUACUUUUUUUUUUUUGAAAUGACUUCAUUUUUGGAGCUUACUCAUUCAACCACUGAGCACAUUUAAAGUGAGAUUCACUCCAAAAAUGUUAAGAGAUUUCCAUAUUCAUUCAUUCAUUUUCCUCCAAAUUGUUUGUAACUUUAGUUUUAACAUCUAAUGUAAAAGUUUACCAUUUGCUAUCAAUUAAAGAAUGUGAUGAUUUAGGCCAUGAGAAUAUCAUAUUAGCUUGCUUUAUCAUAUAGCUCGAUAGUAUGAUCUUAGAAGAUCUUAGAGAUAUGUUUUUUUUUUUCGUUUACUCCUUGGGUAGAGUCUAGUAGGUUUCAAGAGUUCCAAAACUAGGUCCUCAUUGAGUCUUCCACUAGAACAAGGAUUCUAGACUAGUAUCAACGAGGAAUAUUUCUAAGGGUUCUAAUUUGUUUGGAACAUUCUUAGAAAUGACACCAUUUACUUAUUUUGGCAAACUGGACUAGUAUAGAAGAAUUGAUUUGGUAUUGAAAUCUCCUUCUUUAUUCUUUCAUUUUCUCUCUUUGUUUCAUUUUAUCUCUUUUCUUUCUUUGUCUCUCCAUAUUUCCGUCUCUUUUCUCUCUAUCCAUCUCUCGUUCUCUCAUUUCUCUUUUAAACACCUUUGUCACAACCCAAGCUGGGGCCAUGACCAACACCCCAGGGGCUUGUCCCGCAAGUGAACCAACUCAACUUAACUCAAUGUCACAUUAAGCUACUUAUUAUCUACUUGUUCCAUCUCAUGACAAUGACUAAUAUCCAACAUGAUUAAAGUAUAAUAUAAACUUGGUAACAGCUACUCAAAGCUCCAUACAAACUCACAACUACUUAAAUGCUUCCCGUCUCAAAGCAUUUAUGAGCAAUUCGAGUAACUUGAUAGGAAGUUGAUUUCCGUGGUCAAGGUAGAUAUGAAUGUCUAUUUUGUCACCUCUACCCAUCCUCUUAGAUUUUACAAUCCUAAAUUUGCUUUCAUUUUUGGAAACGUUGAAUCAAUUUUAACAAUUAAAUAACAUUGAAUCAAUUUAUUAGAGUUUAACCUUAUAAAAGAGAUUGGUAUUCAUGUGGAUGUGUAGCCAGAGAUUUCCAAUUUUUGGAUGGGAAAUAUAGGAGUUUCCUCUCAUAUGUAUCUUAAUUCCUGUGCAAUUUGCAGAGAGACUGGACCAGGAUACAAGUGGAAUUCUUACAACCAUUUGUAAUCAUUCCUUUCAUUGUUCAUGUAUUUCAAAAUGGACAGAUUCUUCAUGCCCUGUAAGUAAUACCGUACUUUUAUCUUUCCAUCAUAUGUUUGACCUUCAACUUAGACAUGUCUAAGGUUUUUUUUUUUUUAAAGUUCUCAUAAAAACACUUAAACAUGGUCUAGAUUUUCUGGAAAACUGGAUUAAUCUUGAUGCCCUAGUAUUCCUAUUCCUGCAAUUGUCAUGGACCAUAACUUGUAUAGGUUUUAGGUGCUUGUCAAUGUCUUAAUUGUUCCCUAGUAUUCCUAUUCCUGUAAUUGUCAUGGACCAUAACUUGUAUAGGUUUUAGGUGCUUGUCAAUGUCUUAAUUGUUAGGUGCUUGUCAAUGUCUUAAUUGCCUUACUUGUUUGCUUUAAAUUUCUGCCGUAAAUUUUUAAGAACGUGGCCUUGUGGAGCAUUUCAAGAUGGAAUGAGAUCCACUUCUACAAUUGUUGUGUGUUGCACAUGCAGUUUUAAUUUUUUAUUGCAUGUAAGUUUCUUGUAUCAUUAUGUAGCCUUUACUUUUCAUCACUCUAUUGAAAGUGGAGGAAAUCUUCUUGUUAUAUCAAUUUGAUACCCUUUUAUGUCUUGAAUUUGUGAACUUUUUACCCCUUACGGUGAAGUCAUUUCCCUCAAGGUUGGUUUAGAGAUCAAAAUCCCCUCCGUCCAAAAUUUUGAAUAAAUGGGCAUUCUCCCCCCUCUCAAGUAGUUGCAGUUGACCUCCCAUUGGUUUUCACCUCCUUAUGUUUUUGAGUUUGGCUGUUAGUUUCCUGUGGUAGCUUGCAAAAUAGACACUUUAAAAACUUAUUUUGGCAUUUAGACACACGUCUUGGAAAAUUAGGUGUUUAGACACUAAAAUGACAUCAUCACUUCUUACAUACAAACCUAGCACACACGAUUUAAAAUUUAUACUUUAGUCCCCCACUUCAUUCAUUUAAUAUUUUCCAUCAUUUUUUAUAUUUCCACCAUUUUUUCAUAUUUUCCUAUUUUAAUUUAAAAAAUUGUCCGAGAAGCCACCAAUAGGAGCUCCCUUUUUCACCAAUAAUUUCCGAUUCCGGCGACUUUCCGACAAAAAGUUGCUCAUCACAACUGAAAAUCUCCAUUCUUGGUCAUUACCUCCAUUGUUGUUCCAUCUUUUUUGAAAAAAAAAAUGCAAAAAAUAUUUUUUUAACCAUUUUUACGAGCUUGAAAAGCUUUUCAAAUCCUCUCAAUACAUAUUUCAGUAGUUUAGAAGUCCUACCCAUACAUUUGUCCAUCUCAGAGCUAGGAGGGCAUCGAUUAUAUCCAAAAUCGAUCCAUUCACGUCUUUGUACAGACGUUUUCAUACCAGUGAUCGACCUGCUAUAGACCGAUACCUUAAUUUAUUAUCGAUUAGUGUGGUCUAUUAUGGCAGUAGCUGAGGAAAUUGUCGUGGGUGGUAAUUAUAUGGGUGUGUGGGAGGAGGGUCCCAACUAUUGGAAGUGGAAAUCAUCUAGCAGGGAGACAGUGCCCAUCCCGCUGCCUCGCAAUGGUUCGUACGACUACAUGGUUUGAAGCGUAAUUGAGAGCGGAGAAUUAGAUUGCGAGCCAAAGAACGUUGUGAUUAGCUAUGUAAUGAAUGAGCGGGGUAAAAUACAUCCCACGUUCAUAAAGAAUGACCGUCAUGUGUCGUUAUAUAUGUUCGAUGUCGUUGUCGAUGGCUCUAGGCCAUUAUUGAGGAUAAAUGUCGUCCCGGGGUCUCCGACAAUCUCGCCACCACAGCCGACAAUCGACGAACAUGAUUUAUUUGAAGAUGAGAGUUUGGAUGCUCAUCCAAUGAAUUUGGAAGAUCAUUCAAUGGAAUUGGAAGAUCCAAUUUUCUCUGAAGAAGCGGGAGAAGAGUGCGGAUUGGGAGCAUAAACCAACCACACCUUCUCUGACGGAACUAAUUUUCAGCUAAGUCAAACAUUUAGCAGCAAAAAGGAGCUGAAAUUGUUGUUGGACGUAGCAGCUAUGAGAAAUUCUUUUGAUUAUGCUAUAUUGAAGAGCUGCCGCAAAUUCCUCAAGGUCAAAUGCGUUUGUCCUAGUUGUGCGUGGAUGUUGCGAGCGAAGAAGUAUCAAUGCAUGGACAGAUUUAUCAUCUAUAAAUACGUUGGUGAUCACAGUUGCGGCGUCGAAUGUGGCACGCACAGCCAUAGAAAAAUCACGUCUAAAGUCAUUGCAUUGCUCUGUGUGAACCUGUAUCGUGAAGGAAAGAUUUCGGACACUAGUGAGAUUCGGAGGAUCGUUUUCAAGAACUUGAGAAGUAGACCAACCUAUUGGAAAUGUUGGUUGGGGGGUGUGAUUGCCAAGGAAAUGGUUUGAGGGACAGCGGAGCACAUGUAUUCUUGCUUGCCGGCUUUUUCGUACAUGAUCGACGCUUUUAAUGUUGGCACUACCUAUUCCAUCAUGGUGAACAAGGUCGAUUGUAGGGUGAUGUACUACUUUUUAGCAUUGGGCCCUUGCAUUUAGGGAUUCGCCCACAUGAGGAAUGUUAUUGUGGUCGACGACACUCAUUUAUACGGCAAGUACGAGGGCGUGUUGCUAAGCGCGGUUGCACAGGAUACCGAGAACCAUAUUUAUCCCAUUGCCUUUUGCGUCGUUGACAAGGAGAACGAUGCGCCUUGGACGUUCUUCUUUGAGAAGCUAAAGUCUAUUGAGGUUGAUGGACCAGAUUUGUGUUUUAUCUCUGAUAGGCACAAGAGCAUUGCCAACGGCAUCGCGAGGGAUUACAACCAUGCUCAUCACGGGUACUGCAUGAGGCAUCUAGGUGAAAAUCUCUGGGUAAAUCACCACUGCGGAGAACACCUCUAUCUAUUCUACAACGCGACAAAGGCGUAUUCUCUCGAGGAGUUUAGCGACCAUUUGAGGAUUCAAGAACUACUAUCCCGCGGAAGCCUUUUUCCUUGAGCAUGAGCUUGGUUUCUAGAAAUGGAGCAGGGCAUUUCCCCGGCAACAGGUUUGACGUGAUGACCUCAAAUAUUGCCGAGUCGAUUAAUUCUAUGUUGAUUGCCGAAAGGGAGUACCUCGUGGCAUCCAUAUUCAAUUCGAUUGCUAAGAGGUUUGGUAAUAUAUUCAAGGAGAGGCGUGCCUACGUCCUCACAUAUAAGGAUAAUAAAUUUGUGUCCGCCGCCGAAAAGAUCUUAAGGGACAAUAUAAGCGAGGGGGACUCCUAUGUGGAGAACGUAAGCGGGGAUGAAAGGCAAUUCACAGUGUUCGUCAGUGGCUGUACAACCAAAGUCGACCUACUGGAAAGGUCAUGUUCUUGCAGGAAGUUUGAGCUGGUCAAAAUACCAUGCACUCACGCGAUGGCCGGUUUGCGAUUGAAGCACGGUGAUGAUUAUGGAUUGAGAGUCUAUGAUUAAUCUUCGCCCGUGUAUAAAGUGGAAGAGUACCUCCUUGCGUAUUCAGAAUCAAUUAAUGUUGUCCCUUUGGAGUCUGAAUGGCGCGUUCCACAAGAAUUGCUAGACGUGAACAUUAUUCCACCUCCGUGGUCACCAAGCUCGAAAGGAAGAAAAGAAAACGCGUUAAGGGCGUGGGCGAGACUUUUAAGAAGAGGAGGAACAAGUGUUCACUAUGCAAGAGACCCACUUGUAACAACAACAAAUCGUAGUUAAGACUUGUAUGAAUUUGUGUCUUUUUAAGUCAUGGCAGUGUAUGCAUUUUGACAACCCUUUAGUGGUCUGAUUAAUGCUAGUCUUAUCGAUUUUACUCUGUGUCUAUUAUCGACCUUUUAAGGUAUUGCAUAUAUAUUGCGUGUCAGGUCUAUUGCUAGUAUUCUUUAUAUAACACAUAGUUUAUUAUCGAUCCCAUAUAAAGUCUAUUAAAAACCUUAAAGUAUUCACAGGGACUGAUGAACAAUUGAGCAUUUAUUACACAUCAAAAAAGCUGUUGCACGUCCACUCACACCUUGCGUCGAUUGGGUAUACGCUACCUCUUCGAAAUCCAUGCGUCUACCUACCAUUGGGCGGGAAGACCAAAGGGUUCUAUUUUGGUCUAUAUAAACACCCAUCUAAUAUACCCAAAAUUCAUCUUUAUCAACAUAAAAAAUAGAUUAAAUCAACAAGAUGCCAGGCAUUCCAUUGAGACCAAGAAGGAGGAUCCAGCGUAGCUACGACCUUCUCCUCCCCCGUAACGACCUAGACCGUCUCUUCUAUGGUCUAGGACAGGACAGGGAGCACUUCCACCGCGAACUCCAGCGUAUCGCUCGUGAGCGGCUCAACAUAGAGCCCGAGGAGAUGCACCCCCCCCCCCCCCCCCCCAAAUCUCUUUAGUUUAGGUUUUAAUUUCUGUUAUUUUUUUUUGUUUUAAGUUCAUUGCAAUAGGAAGCUUUCAUGGUUGGGAAUAUGUUAGAUGAAAAUUUCUUUAUUUUGUUGUACAUAUGGUUCUACACCAUUGCAAUGAAGUAUCUUGUGUUUCCUAUAUUUGUCUCCUCUUUAAUUUUUGCAAUUUUGUUCUUGUUUGAAUGUUUGCAAUUUCCCCUGUUAGAAGAUGAAACAAACUGUUGUGAGAUGUGAAAAUUAAUUCAUAUAUGAUAAUGAAAAAUGAAUCUGGUCAAUUCGGGGUUAUUUUGCUGUAAAUAUGGUGCUAAACCAUUGCAAUGAACUUAUGAAUGGAAUAUUUUCAUGUUUCCUGCAUUUGUCUCCACUUUAAUUUUACAAUUUUCUUCUUUUUUGAAUUUUUGCAAUUUACCCUAUUAGAAGAUGAACGAAACAGUUGUCAGAUGUCAAAAUUAAUUCAUAUAUGCUAGUGGAAAAUGAAUAUGGUCUAUCCACAAUUAUGUUGAUUUAUACAAAAUUAAAUACAAAGUCGAUGUAGUUUAUUAUUUACGGAGCUCAAUAUCUAUGCGUGAACAUCUACGUAAUCGAUUCAUUCCACUAUGAGGUCUAUCGAUUGUAUCCAGUGUAUAUCAUAGAUGGUAAGCCUUGUCAAUAAUAUACCGUAUUGGUUUAUUGCCCUUAGUAGCAUAUUUGGAAAAAAAGGAAAUAAUUUCUCGCAGCUGCUACGUCCAACAACAAUUUCAACUUUUUUUUGCUGCUAAAUGUUUGAUUUAGCUGAAAAUUAGUUUCGUUGGAGAAGGUGUGGUUGGUUUGUGCUCCCAAUCCGCACUCUUCUCCCGCUUCUUCAGAGAGAAUUGGAUCUUCCAAUUCCAUUGAAUGCUCUUCGGAAUUCAUUGGAUGAACAUCCAAACUCUCAUCUUCAAAUUAAUCAUGUUCAUCGAUUGUCGGCUAUGGUGGCGAGAUUGUCGGAGACCCCGGGACGACAUUUAUCCUCAAUAAUGGCCUAGAGCCAUCGUCAACGACAUCCAAUACAUAUAACGACACAUGGCGAUCUUUCUUAGUGAACAUGGGAUGUAUUUUACCCCGCUCAUUCAUUACAUAGCUAGUCACAACGUUCUUUGGCUCGCAAUCUAAUUCAUCGCUCUCAAUUACGCUUUGAACCAUGUCGUCGUACGAACCAUUGCGAGGCAGCGGGAUGGGCAUUGUCUCCUUGCUAGAUGAUUUUCCACUUCCAAUAGUUGGGACCCUCCUUCCACACACCCAUAUAAUUACCACCCACGGCAAUUUCCUCAGCUACUGCCAUAAUAAACCACACUAAUCGAUAAUAGAUUAAGGUAUCGGUCUAUAGCAAGUCGAUCACUGGUAUGAAAAUGUCCGUACAAAAAUGUGAAUGGACCGAGUUUUGGAUAUAAUCAAUGUCCUCCUAGCUCUGGGAUGGACAAAUGUAUGUGUAGGAUUUCUAAACUACUGAAAUAUAUCUAAUGACGAGGUAUUGAGCGGAUUUGAAAAAUUUUUCAAGCUUGUAAAAAUGGUGAAAAGAAUAUUUUUUACAUUUCUUUUCAAAAAGGUUGGAACAACAAUGGAGGCAAUGAUCAAAAAUGGAGAUUUUCAGUUGUGAUGAGCAAUUUUUCGGUGGAAAAGUCGCCGGAAUCGGAAAUUAUUGGUGAAAAAGGGAGUUCCUAUUGGUGUCUUCUUGGAUAAUUUUUUUAAUUAAAAUAGGGAAAAAUGGUGGAAAUAUAAAAAAUGAUGGAAAAUAUUAAAUGAAUGAGGUGGGGGACUAAAGUGUAAAGUUUAAAACUUGUGUUUUGGGUUUGUAUGUAAGAAGUAAUGAUGUCAUUUUAGUGUCUAAACACCUAAUUUUCCAAGACUUGUGUCUAAAUAGCAAAAUAAGUUUUGAAAGUGUCUAUUUUGCAAACUACCCCACUUUGUGUAGUGAGAGUUAGCCUGUUUUCUAGACAUCAUAUACCAGUAUUAUUUAGAAAAUAUGUAUUUCAUUUGAAGUUUUAAUAGAAAUUAGCUGACUCAGCUAAAACAAAUUCUCUCAGGUAUGCCGAUAUUGCCAGCAGCAGCCUGGAAACUCAACAUGUUCUGUCUGUCAAUCACCAGAAAAUCUGUGGAUGUGUGUUAUUUGUGGUUUUGUUGGAUGUGGAAGGUAAUAAUACUCUCUCUCUCUUGUAAUUUGACCAAUUCUAUUUGAAGUUUGAUCUUCUUAUACAAAAAUAAUUAUGAGGGUUAAAAUCAUUUGCACCCUUAACAUUCCUUUAAGAAUUAAAUUCCUCCAAGUUUGAAUAGUAGACGUUUGUCCCCUUAUAUCAUAAUUGAGUAUUUUAAGUGUAUCAUAAUUGAGUAUUUUAAGUGUACCCUCUAUGUUAUCAACAUUCUCUUUUCUUUUGCAUUUUAAAUAUCAUGAUGUUUUUCUCUUUUCUAAAAUCUGUGUUAUGGACUUACAUACUCCCUCCGUUCACUUUUACUUGUCACUAAUUUCCUAAUUGAAUUUUUAUUUUUACUUGUCAUUUUUAUUUUUAUUUUUUUACAUAUCAACAAAAAUAUCAUGCAUUUUUUUUUCUAUAUAUACUGUCCUUUGUUCCCAGACCCCACUAAGUGGGAAUACACUGGGUUUGUUGUUGUUGUUGUACUGUCCUUUGUCUUGAGCCGGGGAUCUAUUGGAAACAACCUCUCUACUUCUUUAGAGGUAGUGGUAUGGACUGCGUACACUCUACCCUCCCCACACCCCACGAUGUGGGAAUAUACUGGGUUUGUUGUUGUUGUUGUUGUUGUUGUACUUGUCAUUUUUUACAUAUCAAGAAAAGACAACUUUUUUUCCUAUUUUUCCUGUAGCAUUAAUUUUUUUUUCUCCAAAUUAAUUUCAAGACAUAAUUUAAACAUCAUUUAAUAGGGGUACUAUGGUAAAAUAACCAUGUUAUUAAUUGUUUUUCUUAAUAGGUGUGUCAUCUCAAUCUGUGACGAGUAAAACUGUACGGAGGGAGUAUAUACUAAACAUCUCUCUUUUUUUUUUCUCAAGGGGAACAUAUCUCAUUUGCAAAGUGAAGAAAACAAAGUAGUAAUCAAGCAACAACAACAAACCCAGUGUAUUCCCACACAGUGGGGUCUGGGGAGGGGAAAAUGUACGCAGUUCAUACCACUACCUCCGGAGAGGUAGCAAGGCUGUUUCUGAUAGACCCCCGGCUCAAGACAGAGAAUAAUAAACAAGUUCAUAAUAAAAGCAUGAAACAAGAUGGCACAACAGAUAUAAGACACCCACACAUUAAUACCCUGCACUAACGUACCAAAGGCACCCCCACAUGCACUAGCCUUCUAUCCUAAUUCGCGUCUUCCACACCUUCCUAUCUAAGGUCAUGUCCUCGGUAAGCUGUAAUUGCUCCAUGUCACGUCUAAUCACCUUUCUCCAAUACUUCUUUGGCCUACCCCUAUCCCGCCUGAAGCCAUCCAAAGCUAGCCUCUCACACCUACGAACUGGGGCAUCCGUGUCCCUCCUCAUCACAUGUCCAAGCCAUCUCAGUGGAACUUCCCGCAUCUUGUCCUCCACCGAAGCCACUCCAACCUUCUCACGGACAGUCUCAUUCCUAACCCUAUCACCCCUAGUAAGCCCACACAUCCAACGCAACAUCUGCAUUUCCGCCACCUUCAAUUUUUGAACAUAAGAGUUCUUGACUGGCCAACACUCCGCUCUGUACAACAUGGUUGGCCGAACUGUCACUCUGUAGAACUUGCCUUUCAGUUUGGGUGGCACCUUCUCUUCAUAUAACACUCCCGAGGCGAGCCUCCACUUCGUCCAACCUGCCCCAAUACGAUGGGAGAUAUCCUUAUCAAUCUCACCAUUUUCCUAAAUCAUCGACCCGAGAUACUUAAAACUAUCCCUCCUACAAACAACCUGGGACCCCAACCUCACUACCCCGUCGUCCUCCUGUCUCAAGUCAUCAAACUUGCAUUCCAUAUACUCAGUCUUGCUCCUACUCAACCUGAACCCUUUAGACUCAAGGGUUUGUCUCCAAACCUCCAAUUUAUCAUUCACACCUCCCCGCGUCUUAUCAAUCAAAACAACAUCAUUUGCAAAAAGCAUACACCAAGGCACCUCACCUUAAAUACGCCGCGUCAACACAUCCAUCACCACCGCAAACAAAAAUGGGCUAAGAGUCGAUCCUUGAUGCAACCCUGUUAAAACCGAAAAAUGCUCUGAAUCUCUUCCCGCUGUCCUCACUUGAGUCUUUGCUCCCUUAUACAUGUCCUUAAUCGAUCUGAUGUACGCCUUCGGGACACCACUCACCUCCCAAGCAUCUCCAAAGCACCUCCCUAGGGACUUUGUCGUAUGCCUUCUCCAAGUCGAUAAACACCAUGUGCAGGUCCUUCCUUUCCCUAUACUGCUCCACCAGUUUCCGCACCAGAUGAAUUGCCUCUGUCGUCGAGCGCCCGGGCAUAAAUCCAAACUGAUUCUCCGAAAUACACACUAUCCUCCUCAACUUCCGCUCGACCACUCUCUCCCAAAUCUUCAUCGUGUGACUCAACAACUUAAUGCCCUUAUAGUUGGUGCAACUCUAGAUGUCAUCCUUGUUCUUAUAUAGAGGAAUCAUGAUACUCCAUCUCCAAGCCUCGGGCAUUUUCGCAGUCUUAAAGAUGCCGUUAAACAACUUCGUCAACCACCUUACACUUCCAAAAAUCCACAGGAAUCUCGUCCGGCCCCGUCGCCUUACCCCUCCUCAUCUUGUGAAUAGCCUCGCUGACCUCCUCAUCUUAAAACGCCUUCAAUAGCUGAAAUCACGACACCCCUCUGUGUGCUCUAGCUCCCCUAACACAAUGUCCCUGUCCCCCUCCUCAUAAAGAGAAUGAAAAUACGACUGCCAUCUUCUCUUAAUAUGCACGUCUUCCACUAGCACACUACCAUCCUCCCCCUUAAUACACUUCACUUGAUCAAAGUCCCGCCCCUUCCUCUCCCUAGCCUUAGCAAGCCUAAACAACUUUUUUUCUCGACCUCUCUCUUCUAACCCCUCAUACAAGCUCUUAAAUGCUGUCGUCUUCGCAGCCGUAACUGCUAACUUGGCCUCUCUCCUAGCUAACUUGUACUCCUCCCUAUUUACGCGCUUAUCUUAUUCAUCCUUACUCUCUACCAACUUAGCAUACAUCCCCUUCUUAGUCUCCACUUUCUUCUUAACUUCUUCAUUCCACCACCAAUCCCCCCGAUGCUGACCACCCCGGCCUCUCGAGACACCCAACACCUCUCUAGCCAUCUCCUUGAUACACCUAGCCGCCCUAUCCUACAUACCAUCCAUGUCUCCCCUACACUUCUACACCCCAUCUCGGCCACCUUAUCCCCUAUCUCCAGCGCACUCACCGGCGUCAAGCCACCCCACUUAAUCCUAGGUCGGCCCUCCCCACCCCUUCUCUUCCUAUCCUUUUUUAAACCCAGGUCUAUCACCAGAAGCCUGUGUUGGGUCGAAAGGUUCUCCCCAAGCAACAGAAAGUCAAUCUGGGUCUUGGCUAUUGCGCUUCGGAAGGUGAUCAGGUGAUCCUCCUUCUUCGGAAAGCUCGAAUUCACUACCACCAUCCCAAAGACCCUCGCAAAAUCCAACAGAGCCACUGCCUCAUCAUUUCUCUCCCCAAAACCAUACCCACCAUGCACAUUGCCAUAGCCUCCCGGUAACACCCAUAUGUGACCAUUAAAAUCCCCUACUACCACAAUCUUCUCAGAGCUAGGCACGCCUCUCACCACCUCGUCCAAAGCCUCCCAAAACCGCUUCUUCUCCUCUCUGUCCAAGCCCACUUGUGACGCAUAAACACUACACACGUUCAGCGUACACCCCCCUCCCCCAAUGACCGACUUAAUAGACAUCAACCUAUUAUUGAUCCUCUUCACCUCCACUACCUACUCUCUACGUUCUUCAUCUACUAAGGUGCCUACUCCAUUCCUACGCUUGUCGCUUCCCGAGUACCAAAGCUUGUAUCCAUCCACAUCCCUAGCCUUAGACCCUACCCACUUAGUCUCCUGGACACACGCAAUAUUAAUCCUCCUCUUUCUAAGAAUCUUCACAAGCUCUAUGGACUUACCCUGAAGGGUCCCUAUAUUCCACGACCCAAUCCUCAGCCUACCGUCGCUACCCGCACUCCCUCCACUACCCUCCCUCGCGGCCAAACCUUGGCCUCCCUCCCACUCCCGCCCUUUCCUCAUCCUCCGCCCCCACCACGGCCCCCAACCCCAACCCCUUCGGACAUGACCCUACCCUAUCAUCAACGCCCAAAGCCACUACUCAAAAAGAAAUACAAAGAACGAUAGAAACACGAACAAAAACAGAACACAAACAAGAACUACUAGCAGUAAAUAUAUAGCACACUGUCAGGUCCAAAUACAACAAAUCAAAAUAAAAUAAGAAUGCAAGACAAGUCACCAAUCCAAUUUAGCAGGCAAUCCUAACAAAUUAAAGCAAGUCAAGAUACGAAAAAUAAUACGCGAAAGUAAAUAGCAAAGGUCGGUCGCUUGUAACCGGAUCUGCGUGUCGACUUUGUCGCCGGAGUCGAAGUCUAGCCGACGGGGACCUUAACCCGCCGGCGAAAGCGGUGACGGGGAGAUUAGGCCAAAGAAGUAAUCAAGCAUAUAAAUUAAUUGGAGGCUAGUUAUGGAUGGUUUUAGGCGGGGUAGAGGUAGGCCAAAGAAGUAUUGGAGGGAGGUGAUUAGGCGUGACAUGGAGCAAUUACAGCUUACGGAGGACAUGAUCCUUGAUACGAAGGUGUGGAGGAACGUUUUGUUUGUAGCUGUGCUGUAGUUUCUUGUAGUCUCUUGUUCGUGGUGUUUUGGUGAUAUCUAUGUUUUUCAAAUAUGUAUUUUAUAGUAUUACCUUGUGGGUGUCUUGUUUCCUUUAUUAUCUAGCGGUGUGAUAUCUCAUACCCCACUUGGUGGGAAUACACUGGGUAUGUUGUUGUUGUUGUAGUGAUGAGAAAACUGAGCAGAAUAAAAAAAAAUAGAAUUAAAUAAUUUAUUUGUAUCAGUAAUUUCUGCAUUCCUUCUUUCCUCUGUUUUAUAUUCCUUAUGGGUGCGGUAUCUAUGUUAUGUCAUCUGCUCCUGUGCUGUACUAUGUGUUUGUGUGAUAUCUCGUGACUUGAGCCGGGGGUCUUUCGGAAACAGCCUUUCUACUUCAUCAGAGAUAGAGGUAUGGACUGCGUACAUCUUACCCCCCCAGACCCCACUAAGUGGGAAUACACUGGGUUUGUUGUUGUUGUAUCAGUAAUUUUAUUAAAUAGAAAUUGAAACUAGAAAUUUGUUUACACGAUUGAGAAUAAGAGAGGAUGAGAAAUUCAUAAGCAUAUACCCAUGCAGGUAAUACAAAAAUAUAAUUAUUAAAAAUGGAGGUACAUUUUAUAACAAAUUCCUAAAUAGUACUAUCUAUUUAUACUUUAAAUGAGUUUUUAAGUUGUAACUUAGAAAAUAUUUUGUCAACAACAAUCCAAACUCAAAAUUUCUAUAAACAUAAUAGAGAAUUUAAGAGAGGAAAUGGUUGGUUGAGCUAUAUAAAUAAUUUUGAAGACCUAAAAGACGAAUGAUCUUUUUGACUGCUAGAGAAGUAAUAGGUUUAGUUAGGGAUGUUCAUCAUGCUGAUUUUUCUAUAGAUACAAAGAAGCUCAUGCUACAAGGCAUUGGAAGGAGACACAACAUUGCUAUGCACUUGAAUUGGAAACUCGGCGUGUCUGGGACUAUGCAGGGGACAACUAUGUUCACCGUUUGAUUCAGUCUAAAACUGAUGGGAAGCUGGUUGAGCUCAACCACCAUUGUCAUCAUGAUAAUGAUGGCUGCUGCGGCUGCAAAUGCGGUGCAGAUCCUGAAUUCAGUGAAACUAUUUUAAACAGCAAAGUUGAAGCUGUACGCCUCUCUCGUCAUUUGUAUUUUUUUCUUGUUUACUCUUUUUUCAUCUAUUCAAAUGUUUAAGUUUUGGAUUGCUUUGGUCAUUCUGCUAUUUCAUUUGGAACCCUUGGUAAUCUUCAAAUUUUCUAACUGCAGAUUGUAAACGAGUACAAUGAGCUCCUAACUUCCCAACUGGAGGACCAAAAAAUGGUUAACCUUUUUACUAUAGUAUAAGUUUUCUUUAUUUUGCUGAUCUGAAUGUCACGGAAGCUUUCACGUCUGGUUACUCAUUUGAAUGUAGAAAUAUUGUUUAGUUGUUUAGAACGAUUCAUUCUAUUUACCGUACUAACGGUUUCUACUUUUGAUCAUAGUACUUUGAGUCCUUAUUGCAAGAGGUUGAGGAAGAAAUUGCAAGGGAAACUAAGGAAGCUGUUGAGAAAGCUCUAUGCCAGAAUCAAAGGUUAACGAAGUUAAAAGUUCGCUUGGACAAAUGCAUUGAAGAGAAGAAAUUUCAUGAUGAUGUGAGUUUUGUUGAAGGGAAUUAAUCAUUAUUCAUCUCUAAGCUGUUACCAGUUUAUCAUCAUUUAGUCCACAUUUCUUUUUUUUCUUACACCAUUUGAUUUUUGUUGAUUUUGUUUUGAACCUGAAUCUUUUGGUGUUGAAUUCUCUAGAUCAGUGACAAUCUUACGAAAAACAAGGAGAUAUGGGAAGCCAAGAUACUGGAAAUUGAAGAAAGGUAUUACCUUUCCUUUGUUGUCAAGAUUGGUUUGGUUUUCUAGCAAAGUUGAUGUACUCUAUGCGUUGUAGUUUCUUACGAGGAAAAGCUGGACUCUUCAUAGGGCAGAGCUUCUUCUUCUUCGUCGUCUUCUUCUUCUUUUUUUUUAGUUAUUAUUGCCGUAAACAGAGUCUCUUGCAAAAAUGCAUGGUAAAGGUUGCGUACAAUAGACCCUUGUGGUCCGGUCCUUUCUUGGGCCCUGCACAUAGAGGGAGCUUUAGUGCACCGGGCUGCCCUUAUUUUGUUGUUCAUGUAAUGGAUGAUCAAGUACUUCUGACCAACUUCACGUGCAUUCAUCCACAACUGCUAAAUUACUUCCCUAUCUUGUCAUGUAAUAUCCUAUUUUAUCUUUUAACAUCCAUCUUCUAGGGAGAAGAGGGCGCUAAAAAUGAAGGAUGAGAAGAUAUCCGAAUUGGAGGAAGAGGUAAAUUUGACAUUGCCUAUCAAUUGGAUUCAGUCAACUGGAGUUGCUUACUUUAGUUUCCUGAGUAAAUGUGAUUGCUAUUAUGUUUGGGCUGCAGAUUGCGACUUUGAUGGCAUCCAUCGAAACAUAAGAUGCAUUUAAAAGGGAUGCCAUAGUCAAAUGAUGAAAUGAAGGAUAAGAUCAGCUUCAAUAUCAGACAAUUCCAUUGGAUUGACAAGCCUACCUGUAUUUGAUGCCUCUGGAAAGAGCAGUGACAACGAGGCCUCGAAGUCAAGUGUCAGGAAAAGCAAUCGGGGUUCCUUGAAUAGAGUAUGAGUAAUAGGCGCUGUCCAGAAAACUCUUGUGCAACCACCUCAAUUAAAAGUGGUUACAGAUUUUUGACGGUGAUUUUAUUAACCUUCUUUUAGUCUUGAGUGUCAAUUUUCGGCCUGUUUGUUUCAAUGAGUAGCUGAUUUGAUACUUUAAACCUGUCCUCGUGCAUUGCUCGACACUCAGGAUUAAUUCUCUGCAGUUUCAACCUUUUUGGGGGAUGAGACUUGGGAAUCAGAUAGUUGUUAUUUAACUUGAAUUGGGAAGGGUGGUUGGGUAUCUUAACAGUGAUAAAUAUCUGCAAUGCGCAUGUGUUAACAGUAGAUGAAUCAGAAUGCUGCAAUGCGCAUAAUGACAAUGAGGUGGCAUGGCACAUCCCAGAAUAGUGCAAAGAAACUCCUGCGCGACUGGAGAAGGUGAAAAUUUACUUUGGGGGAAAAUAGUUGCAAAGAUUGAAGUUCAUACGCCUAUUAGUUUAAGGAUAUGUAAUGGUAAUAAAUAAUGAUUCUUGACAACUUUUUCCUCAAGAAAAAUAUCCUCCUCAGAUGUAAAAGCAGCAUCCCCCGAAAACUUGGCAAAUCAGUACUAACUUCUUGACACUUCUGGUGAUAGAACGCGUGAUGUAGACAACAACAAUUGGCCUUCUAUUCGGCCAUGGUUUCUCAGGUAAAAGAACAAUAAAUGAUGGAAAGAGCCACUCGCUGCACUUUUCUACUAGAAGAAUGUACAGAGAAAAGUUAUCUCCAUUCUUUAUGUGGGAGAUAACAUAACCAAUGGUAACACAAACUAGUAAAAAAAGCUUAAGAAUCGAUGAAGCUAAAAACUAAAAGCUCUAAAACAGAGCUCCAAACUAUCAGCAAGACUACCUAAAGAUUGGCUACCUUCCGAGUAAAUUUUGGAAAGAUAUAAAUAAAUCCCGAGGAUGCUGCUUGACUUGAAAAAAGCACCCUAUUGAUGUUGCAGUUGCUCAACUAAAAUUCUAUUGAUGAAGGGUGACAUAGCCGCUAACAAUGCCUUGGGACACUCCUCAUGAGGAAGAUGACCACAUCCUGAUAUUGCAACCAGUCUCUGUAUGUUAAAUAGACACAAAAGUUAAUAGCCUGAGACUAGUAGUAACUUUAUGCUUUUAUCAGAAGCAGGCUCAUAAAAUGUUGUCUCAAUUUUCAUACUCAGAUGGUAUAACUAGUAUUUUAUUCACUACACAUAUUGAAAGGGUAUUUCAACAGAAUAAAAGUGUCAUUCAGGACAUCAUUGCAACAAUUAGAAGCCAGUAAAGAAAAUCAAAACUGAUCAAUUUCUGCUAUCAGCUCAAUUAGCCAACAUCUUUGGCGAUUAUCACCACUUUGAUAACAUUUUUUCGGACUCGAUGGAUUUCCAGUUUAAUUUUCUGCUUUAUAAAUCAAUGUUCGGGGGUUGUAGUGGCUCAAUGGCAGAUGUAGUCCCAAUUUUCAUUAGUUUCUAUUGAAUCAAUUCCAUUCAACUUAGUCACAAACACAAUAACAUUUAAAAGUUUCAUGCUAAGAGGUGUGUUACAGAUGAGUAAAAUCAUAUAUGAAGCGAGAAAACUCAUACUAGGUGGUGUUUGAUUUAAGGUAAAAAUAGUAAAAUAACUGAUUAAGAUUUAAGGGUGCAAUCAGUUUCACUGAUCUAGAUCAAGUAAGCCAGCUUGUAUUAGAGUUAAAUAAUGACAUACAGUAGAGUGCAGAGAUGGAUAUAGAGAGAUUAAGAUAACUCACAGAAUUUACAUGGACAUAGAGAGAUUAAGAUAACUUACAGAAUUUACAAGUUUUGAAGCCAUAGCUUGAACAGACUUUAAAGGUACAACUGCAUCUUCAGCUCCCCCAAUCACCAAAACGGGUAAACAUUCAACUGCUUUUAGCAGUGCUGUUGCCUUUUCUGGGGAGAGGACUGUCUCGUAUGAUUGUUUCCCUAUCUCAUGGAGUGCUUCAUCCCAACCUUCCACACAUAAUGGUGCCUGAUUACAUACACAAGCAGAUAGGAUUAGGAUUGGAAUAUGUUACUUAUAAAAAGUGUAAAGAUGCCGAAAGAAGGGACGUGUAAACUAUUGGCAUCUUGUAUGCCCAGAAGUGGCAAGUACUUCCUUCUUGACGAUGAAAUUUAUUACACACAUACAUAAGGCAAUCCUGAAUUGUUAAGAGGCUGAUCUUCUAAAACUUUUCCACAAUGGUUUCAGCUCAUCCAUACCAAAAGUUGAGCCCUCAAUAUAUGCUAGUUUUUCUGAUCAUUUAUUGUUGAGUGGGGGUUAGGAGGAAAAAAGGAAAGGCGGUGAAGGGCAGAUAAUCACACAAAGUAGAAGCUCCUUGAGCAUGAAUAAGUAUAAUGAACUGAAUCAUCUAAUAAGUGUGCAGAGCCAAAAAAACAUCCAAGAAAAGAUAGAUGAAACUGUUAUCUGCCCUAUACCUCUUUUUGUCUUUCUUCCUAACUUCCACUGGAAACAAAAAUAUUUAGAAGUAGCACACCCGAAGAGUCCUAAUUGAGGAGGCUAUGAUAUCAUACACAGAAUACACAAAAUGUAGAUAUGAAAUUUAUAGGGAACACAUUUAGAUGUAUCUUGUCUAUCAGAUCAGACAAAAGACUAGCACACUCAACAUUUCAAGAAUAAGAACACAUACCUUGUAUAAGCUCAAAACCUCAGUUGUCAACUUCGUUGUGUCAUACCAUGCUCGUCUGUUAACAACUUGAGUAAUUUCUGUUCGCAAAAGAGGACGCACCAAGUGCUUUUUUCCAAGUGAUGUGCGCAAUAAUACUCUUGCAAAGGCAGGCACCAGUUCUCUUGACAGGCUAACACCCAAUAAUACAACCCCCUUGAUCUUAACCUAAUAUAGAAGGCAAAAGUAGUAAAAUAGUCAAAGCAAUGAGCAAUUUUCCAACCAUAGUAUAUCAGCUCUUGACAUUCAAAACUAAGGGUACACAAGAUUUCACGUCACUCUUCUUCAACAAGGAUGAGAAAUGUAUAAGAAUAAGCAAAAAAAGCGGGCUACUGACAUAUUUUCUCAAGAUUGAAUCAUAAUUUUCACCAGGAUACCAAUUCAUUCGGUGUUAAUAGCACUCAUGGCAACUAAAACAUGUUAAAUCCCACACCCCGAGCACUCACAUUAGUAAAAUUUGUGGAUGACUGGACUCUUUGUGCAGCCAUUAGUGCAAGCAAUCCACCAUCAUCAUGGCCAACAAGUACAACUGAAGUAAAACCCAUCUCUGAACAGAAGGACAGAAGCAGGUCAACCUGACAAGUGAAAAUUCAACUGUCAGAAAAGAAAAGCCUAGUCAUUUAAAAGGAAAACAAUAGCCUCUAUGAUCAUUACAAGUAUAUGUCCAAAUGAAAGACAACUAUAUACAAUUCCCUACGUGUAUUGUAUACAUGCAUAUGCAUUAAACACAUAUAUACAUAAACUCCUGGAAUUAGAACCUUGAACUCGCUGUUUAACAUAUGUGCUAAAAUUUAUAGACUCAUUCUUUUGGUUUCAUGCCGAAAAUGGUCCACUGAAACAUAAAAUUGAAGAGUGAGACAUUACCUGAGCAUCAAUAGUGUAGGGAUUGGGCAAAUGAUCCUCCUCCCAGUCUGUUCGGAAAGGCCUAGAUGUCAAUCCCCAUCCUGGCCUGUCAAAUGCAGUGACUACACAACCUACCUGUUGAGCUAGUACUCCCAUCACAUUUCUCCAAGAGAAGACUCCACCACCAAAACCAUGCACCAGAACAAUUCCAAACUGAUCAUUACCUUCCAGAUCUUGUAUAGGAUGAGGAGACCCGGACCUAUCCACUGCAUCUGCCUCACCAACUUCAUCUAGGUUGAGACUAGGCAUUUCUACAGACAAGAGGGGGGAAGUCUGAAACCCAUCUAAUAAAGGUGUGGAUAGACAGUUUGCAGGAUAUUGACUACUGUAGCUCCUCCGAAUACAAUAGUCCACGUUUGAUAAAAGAGUCGGUGGCCUGUCUACACGGGCGGUGGAGGAUAACGAACGACAAGGUGAUCCAGGCAAAGUAAGUUUGUAAUGAAGAGUAAGCCCUAAGCAAGUAAUAAAUAAACUGUCAACAUCAGCAAGCAGUUUGGCAGGGAUUUCUCCGUCCUCUCGAGCUGAUCCUGCAAGUUUCCUCUUCAUUUCACUAUCACAUUUUGAUGCUUUCCCAGCAGAAGGAGUUGGAGACCGUGGUACUUUAUUGUAUGCAGAGAAAACAACUUUACAGGGAAGAACCUGUCAUUUCCAAUAAAUCAAUUGUUACAAACUUUAAGGUUCCAUUAAAUUGCUUCUUCGGUCAAUGAGUAAAUCAAAAACCGACAGCAGUGAUUAUCUUCACAUGGUUAACAUUAUCCUGACCAAAUCACAAGUACUGAAUUAGAUAGAUAACAUUUAAUCAGAACUCAAUCAGUUGGAGAAGUAGUUAGAUUCUUUCAAAGAAUAUCCAAACCAGAACAGUAUAGUAGAUGUCAUUGACGAUUAAAUGUGUCCAAGAAGUUAAGGUAACUACAAGGGGAAAAACAUAACGACUUACAGCUUCGGGGUCAAUUCGGUGAAACAAGAGUUUCCUCCUAGCUCGACAACUUGUUCUAUAGGCAACAACAAUAUGUCCAACAGCAAAGACUAUAGAUGAUAUAAACAACACUGGCAUCCCCCAUGACUUGUUCAAAUGAAGCUUUUGCUUUGGGAUAUACGAUGAAGCUUCAGCCUCCAAGUAUGAAUUGCCAGAGAAAACACUAGCCUUUACGGAAAGAAGAAUAAUGGACAUAACAGAACAGAAUGUAGCAGUUCCGAGAUAUGGUCCAUGUGAAAGAGCAGGUCCAUCACACAUAGAAUAAACACCUAUGAUCAAAUACUAAUAUGGAUUAGUUCCAGAGACAACAUAGACAAGAAACACAACCAAUAUAAAGUAUUCCUAAGAACCAAUUCCAAUUGAAUCAUAACACCAACACAUUAGUAACUAUAAUACCUAAACACAAAAUCGAUUAAAGAAAAAAGAUUAAAUCUCCAGAGAAGAAGAAGGGCAAGUUUAGGCGAAAAUGACUUAACGUCGGAGCUGGUAUGCUCACUCAACUAACUGUAUUAUCUCAAAAUUCAACUUUCUUCUUGGUUCCAAGUUUUCUCAACAAAGAAAGCGACUUUCUGAUACAAAAAAUUAUUACUUGACUGACUAUGUGAGAAAUUAACUCUUUCAAGUUUCUUUUUUUUUUUUGUUGAUAAAAGUGUUGUGUCUGGAACAGCUUUCCCGCACCUCGACUAAUCCAACGGCAUACAUGCCACCUCUUACUAGCAAGAAAUACCAAGUAACUCUAUCCACCAAGGCUAGGAAGGCUAGGAUAGAUGGAAAGAAAUCACCGAUUGUUUUUGUUGCAAUUAAGAAACAUAUUUCAAUAUGUUGCAAUUGGAGUUCCAACUCGAUUUCCCAACGCAAAGUACAUAUCAAACUCCGACAUUUAUACCUAAAAUUCCAUCUCAAAGUGGAAAAACUACAAAUGAAGUACUAAAACAAGAAGAAGCAAACAUGAACUUUAUAGGAUGCUCGAAAUCAAGUAACAUGACCACUAACUCGAAAAAGAAACUGAAACUGGAGUAGUAAACAAGAACGUACAGGAGAUGAUAAGAGAUCUCAGGAUUGCAACAAGAGGAAUAUCCAUCAAGGAAGUUGUGAAUGCAUAGCUUUGCAAAUGCUCUUUCAAACUGUAACACCUUACGCACGUAAAGCUAGAAAUCAACACAGUCGGUAGCAACACAUCCCCUAUUGCCACCAUCACCGGCGCCGAUAACAUCAGUAGCGACAACAACAUCACUACCAUGAAAUAUAUAGUCCUUAAACAUCUCCUUACUUUCUCCACCACUCCCUUCCCCAUAACAAACUACAAAAAAAAAAACAGUUUUCCUCUUGCCUCGACAACUACAAUUCGGUUACAUUUGGUGAAUAAUAUGAGAUCGUAGACGCAAUGAAAUUGUAGCAACUGGAGGAGACGGCGGCUCAACGGCCAUCUGCCGGCGGCGAAUAAAAAACGGUAAAUAUGGUGCUAGGGUUUAAGUUGUUGAAAGCUCAAAAGAGAAAAUGGAAAGUGUAAGCGUUUAGUUAAGAGGUAAUGAGCAGAAAUAUAUUUAAACAGAAACAGCGGACUGGGGGUUGUCGCCGGAGUGUUUGUACUAUGGUUUUCUCGCUCUUGUAAUAAUUUAUUAGUAGAUGCCUGGAUGAUCAAUUUAUAAAAUAUUCUACAUAAAAAUAUUUUAUAUAAAUAUUUUAUGCAGUUAAUAAACAUUUUUUUUUAGUGAAUGCAGUUAAUAAAUUUGACAUAUUAUUACAGGUUAUCAAUUUUUUAUAGAAAAUUUAAAAAAAUAAUUUGAUAAGUAAAAUAUUUCAUAGUAUACUGUAAAAAACUUAAAUUUCAAUUUAUUGUGUUUUUUUAAGUUUUAUUUCUCUUAUUUUUAACAUUACCACCUUUUAGUUUAGGCAAAAGACAUAACUCCUCUGCUUUGUUUGUAGUAGUAUCUUCUUUAUUUUGGUCUAGACUUUUUAAUUCUAUCCAAUUCAAUAAUUUUAACAUAAAAUUUUAUAUUUAUCUUAUGAAAUUUAUUGUAUUUAAAAUUAAAUUUACGAUUUUUUAUGAGGAGUCAAACUCUUAUCAACAAAUUAAAGAUUAAAAUAAUCGAACAACUAAGUUAUUUGUACCUUUCACUAGGACAUACUUGUUAAAGUAGAUUAGAAUUAUGUUGCAACUAUAUAUAUGGCAUCUUAAUUGUUGAUGGACUAUAUAUGGAGUUCUUUGGAGGCUAGAAUCUACAUGAAAAUAGGUGUAUAUUAUUAUAAAAGUAAAUGGCAGAUAUGCAUAUAUCUUACGCUUCUCAAGUUUUACUAUAUAGGGGAUUCUUUGUUCUUAUUUCACUUUUUUUUAAUGAAUGGAAAGAUAAAAAUGUCAAAAAAAAUUCUUUUCUAUUCUAUUCGUCAUGUAUGAAAAUUAUUACAGUCUAUUCUAUUCGUCCAUGUAUGAAAGUUAUUAAAGACUUGAAGUAAAUAAGUUGAUACCUUGGUUAGAAAAACAAAAGGAGUAAAACGAAAGUUUUUCUUUUUCUUCCAACAAAAGAAGUUGAAAGUGCUGGAAUUCGUUAACACUGGCCCAUUUACCUGCCUGGCAGCUUUUCUCUUCUUUUUUUUUUUUUUUUUUUUCUUUUCUUUCUAUUGAAUAUAAUGGUUGCCAUUAUCUUUGCUCGUAUCUUUUUGUGAAUUCCAAAGUUUGCUCCUUUACAUUUUUCCAUUCACGUCCUUUUCUUUUUCCUUUUUCUCCCUUCUUUGGCCAGAACUUUUCAAUGAUUAGCAGUUUAGUACCAUACUUUGAAACACAAAAGUUAUUAAAUUCACAGAUCUUUUUAUACUUCCUGUGUCGCAUUUCAUGUGGCAUUUUUUUUUUUUUUUAUCUUGAUACGAUAUAUUUUUAAAAGAAGUGUGUGUUUUAAAACAACUUUUAGAUAUUUAUCUGUUUGUGAAUUAUUUGAUUAAGAAGAGAAUUUUAAAGUUAAAUUGUUUCUGACUACAGUAAGGUGACACUACUUUUUAAAUGAAUUAAAAAAAAAAAUGUGUCACAUAAAGUGAAGCGAAGGGAUUAGUUUCUAAUAAAUGAGGUUGUUAAAGUAUUUGGUGACAAUGAUAAUUGGGUACUUGUAACUUAUAAGUUGUCUGAAUUUUAAAGAUAUAUUUUAUACUACUUAUUAAUUUUAAAAUUCAAAAUGGAUAAAAUUAAGAUUAUUAAUUCACUAGUAGAAGCAAUCUAAUCCGAUUCUUACAACGAAUUUCAGCUAGUAAAGAACAAGCAUCUUGUUUGGUGAUGAAUUUAAUAAUCAAAUUUUGAAUUUUAAACUUUUUUAAUACUCCUAGUAUGCUAUACUAAGUGGCUUUUGUCUUUUAUGAGUUUGAAUAACGACAUUAAUUAUUAGAUGCUUCAAUUGUGUUUGGAAGACACACCAAUUAUUGUUUAAGAACGAUUAGUACAAAGAAUGUUUGUUAAUGCUUUUCAUUUGCCAGGCUUGCAUUGCAUGGAUAUAUAAUAAAGUCCAUAGUUAACAGAGUGUAAGAAGCUAAGAGGGAAGAUCUACUAGUGAGAAGAGGGAGGAUGGAACACUAAUGAGAAAAUAUAAUACUUAAUUAUCUGCAUUCAGUGAGUGACAGAUACAGUAUUUUGAAAUUUAUAUAUUCGUAUAACAAUUUCAGUAAAUAAUGUAGGUAUUUAGUAGAUUUCUUAAACAUUGAAAAGAGAAGUAUACAUUAAUCAAAUAACCAAAAAUAUGUAUUACUCCCUCCUUUCGUUCGAAUUUACUUAUUACUAUUUUUCUAAUUUGAUUUUCAUUUUUACUUAUUAUUUUUGACAAAUUAAAAAAGACAAAAAAAAUUCAUGUUAAACCCUUAGUAUUAAUUACUUAUUUUUCAAAUUAUCUUUCAAUAUGCCUAUUACUAAACAUCAAUUAAUAGAGGUAAUAAUAUGAUAAAGUCAUUAUAUCCAUCAUUAUUUUCUUAUGGUCAGAGGCGGACCUACGUAUAGAGUAGGGGGUGUACGUGCACCCGCUAGCCCCAAGAAAAACUCUGUAUAUGUAGGUUGUAUAUCUGUAUAUAUACCAAUUAAUUUAACUAAAUAUAUGUUGUGUACCCUCAAAGAUAGUUUGUGUUGGUGCAGUGGUUGAACUUGUAGCAUAAAAUUUUUUUUUGGGUGGAGGACUUUGGUUCGAAACCCACCCAACUACAAUUGUUUUAUUACUCCCUUUUCCAAGUACAAUUUGCUGCAGCAUUUGCAUUAUUGCUGCUGUCUUCCCAGACAACAUUGACACACACAAUAUUUAUGUAUUUUUAAUUUUAUUCCAAAAAUACAAGCUCUCCUCCAAUUUCAAAAGGCAAAUUCCCCCUAUCUUAUACUAUAUAAUGUUUAUUUUACUUUAAUUUUUUAAUCAUUGACUUAUUUUGUAUUUAAAAAUUAGCAAUUUAAAGUUUGAAAUAGGCUUAAAUGCAACGUUUUCUCGUAGCAACCAUUUAGCAAACAAAUCUCUCAGAUUUUCUAUUUUUCAAAAACUCUCUAUUAUUGUUGAAAAUAUAAAAGUGCAUCAAAUUUAAGUAUGGUGAAUAAUACUCUUUUGUCAUAUUAAACCAAAUUAAUGAUAUUUAAUAAUAUUAAGUUUUCAAAGAACUAUAUGUCAAAUUUUGGCACUAUCAAUUAUUAUGUUUAAAUAUAAAGGUGCAUCCGUCAAACUCAAAUCCUGGGUUCGCUUUUGCUUAUGGUUGUGCUAUUUCAAAAAACGACUAGUAAAAACAAACGAAAAGAGUAUUUAAUUGGCUACUUGAACUUUUAUCUCAGCGGUAAGAAUUCGAUUUUCCAUCUAAUUACCCCCUCUCUCGUUUUUCCUUCCCCAACAUUCAAUUUUAAAGAUGAAAAAGAAUUUACACUAAAAACUAGUAUUGUGUUUUGACCCUCAAAUUAUAUAUUCCUAAUUAUGUUAUCAUGAUAUGAGGAACACAUGUGAAUAAUAUGUAAUAUAGUUUAGAAGUGAGAUAGUAUUACCAACACGGGUUAUGGUGUAGUGGAUGAGGUUGCUCCAUUCUUAAUUAGAGGUUGAGGGUUCGACCCUAGUAUGGAGAAAACUCAGUUGAGAGCGCUACCCCCCAAAUGGGGGCCCUACCCGGCACAAAUUUGGAUUAAUCGGACUUCAAUGCGGGUACCGGACACCAGAAAAAAAAAAAAAAAAAAAAAAGAGAGAGAGAGAAAGAGAGUAUUAGGCGGCAAAUGAGUUGAAAUUCAGUGGUGUAGAACGUGAGACCGUUAGUUUCGCAGAAGAUGGGGGUCGCCUGGUCGGGACCCGAAAUAUAUAUUUGUUGCCUUUAUCUUUUUUUUUUUUUUUUUUUUUUUUUUUUUUUUUUUUUUUUUUUUUUUUUUUUUUUUUUUUUUUUUUUUUUUUUUUUUUUUUUUUUUUUUUUUUUUUUUUUUUUUUUUUUUUUUUUUUUUUUUUUUUUUUUUUUUUUUUUUUUUUUUUUUUUGUAGACUUCAAUUUAUAAUUCGUUUUUAGUAUAUAAAUUUUAUUUUAAAAAAUUAUAGACGUAUUCAAAUUUGUACAGAACAUUAUUAUUAAGUGAUAACAAUUUUUUAUGAUUAUUUACAAAUAGAAUGAUAGGAGAACUUUGAACUUUUUUCAGAUUGCUUAUAUAAGAAAUUGAAGAAUUUUAAUGUGUCUGUCCCGUAAUAGGGACCAAAGUUCUCUGCAGUUGUUUUACCAAUUCAGGCCACAACGGCCAUAUCAAUAUCACCAAACUUUUAACUUUGGCUUCUUCUUUCUUUCUCUUUUCCUGUUUUGUUUCCCCUAAGACAUUUCAGGAAGAGUACACUUAUUACUUGGAGGACAUUUUAGGAAGCGUACACUUAUUACUUGGAGUAUUAAAAUAGUGAGAUAGUUAUGGUGAAGUUGUUGAGCUAAAACAAGUCAUUAUAUCGUAUAAUAUUAUUCGUUUUGGGUUAAGUUCAUAUAAAAUCUCUCACUUUUUACGAGUAUAUAUAUAUAGUACAAUGUCUAUAAAUUGUUCAAACAACUUGUCUUUCUUUCGCUAAUAUAAACAAUGAGUUUUACGUUAAGUAAGAAACAGAAGAUGGAGUUAAAGAAUAACGUGCAUGUCUUAUCUAAUUGUAAGGUGAAAAACAAAACGCAAUAUCAUAUAUUUCCACCUAAACUUGAAUCCAUCCACUGUUUCCCAAAUAUAUAUUGCUUUAUGUCUUUAAAUUACAAAUGUUUUUUUCCCUAACAAUUCAAAUUUCAAACUAAUAUAAACAAUUAGUGUUACUUUAUUAUUUUAGACUUGACUUGACAUCUUUUUAAACAAUCUACCUAACAUUAUUGGGGUUAAAUUGGACUGAAACAAUGCUUUUAAAAAAUAGGAAAUAAAAACCAGCUUCGCAGACAAAUUCGACAGAAUUUAAUAGCUUUGGUUUAAAUUAUAUAUAUGUGUUUAAAAAAAAACCCACCUAAUAUGCAUAAAUAGUUUAUCAAGAACACAAUAAAUUACAUUUCAAAACUCACAAUUCUAGCUCCACGUAUAGUAGCCCACUAGAGGUCAUUUAUACAGGGGAGAUAAUAUUGGGAGACAGAUAAGGAUUUAACUGGGACCAAAUGCCAGCUGACGAUAAAUCCAUUAAUUGAUACUUGAUAAUCUGAUAUUGCUUAUGCUGGCAUGGUCCUAUUAAUUAGUCUUUGUAUUGCUUCAUUCAUAAUACACAGUGACUCUUUUCAGUUUUUUUCCAUUGAGUAAUUAAUUUUAUUUAUCUACGACUAUAAAAUGAGCGAAGGUCCAUAGAAAACAACCUCUCUACCUCGUGAGGUAGGUGUAAGGUUUGAAUAAAUUCUGCCAUUCUAAUUCUCACUUUUAUGUCGUUAUUGUUGUAUAUAUGCCAAUUCAUAAUCUCCAUUUAUUUAAACAAAUUCAAAUUGAACUAUUGUUACAUAAUUAUAUAAUUGGAAUUUGGACUUUAAGGUCCCAGCGAAGUUAAAUCCUAACAGCCUAAUAUUUCCUAAAGACAAUAAGGAUCCAAACUUCGUAUGAAUGAUGUACAUUUUUGAAAGGUUUCUCCUUUAGAAUUGGAAGUCCCACCACGUUACCUUUGGGGAGAGCAGUUUCUACUUAUAAUUAAUAGACAAAAUUCUAGCAUGUGUAUUAUUAAACCCCAGCAGGGUAGUCCAAUAAUGUAUGCCCAGAUUCCUUCGUGUUUUAAAACCUUAACGAGACUUCUGAUUAAGAAUGGAGAAAUAUUUUGUAGUAGGGGUUGAAAUAAAUUUAACAAGAGACCCCUAGCUUCCAUGUACUUAGCUUCCGUUUGGUCUUAGAAUCUGAAAUUUAAAAGUUUAAGUUUUGAAGUUGUGUUUGAUCAUGUAUUUUACUUGAACAGAGAUUAAAAGUUUGGUGAGUGGAAGUCUCGAAAAACUAGUCAGAGCCAUUUUUUGGGAACUUGAAAAUAUUUGAAGAUUAGAAUCUAAAAUUUUGAAAAAAUCUCUUGGCUAAAAUCUGAUCCAAAAUCUAUGAUUAAAUGCUAUAAUAGUAUGCCACCAGCCACAUAAUAAUAACAAAAGAAAAGUUAAUUCUUUUAGAAUUUCAGUGGUUGACUUUCUAAGUGAUAAAAAUAUUCUGAAGUUUGUUUCUGCAUUGCUUGGCAUAUGGUGAGGCCUGAGAGUUUUGUUCAGUGUGUAGUUUCUUUCAUCAUCUUAAAAGCUUCAAAUUUUAAACUUUGGAUCUGAUUUUUUUGGACUUUUUCCUAACAUUUUCUUCUUGAUUUUUACAUGAAACAUUAAUAUUCCUAUACUGAUUUCUUUUCUUUCCUUUUUAGUCUUCUUCCUAUAUAAAAUUUGAUAUUCCCUACGUUUCAUAUUCGUUUUUAAUGUUACUAACUAAAAAUGUACGUCUCAACUUACAAAUUAACAAUAUUAGUUAUCAAGGUUAAUGUUAAGAUAGGCUUAGUCUUGUUUUUAAAUAAAGUACUACCUUUUAUUGUUAAGAGAUAAAAGAAUAAAAUAGUAGUAAAAGGUAUUUUUUUUAUUUAUGAUUUUGUAAGAGACGUAGAGAUAUGUGACGAUUAAUAUGAGAUAGCAAAAAUUGUUAGGGUUUUUGCCCUGAUUUUCUUACUAAAAUUAAGUUUUACUUUUUCUUGAAAGGAAAAUAAAAGUAACCAUAAAUACUUUUACUUUUCCUGAAAGAAAAAUAUAAAACUUUUUCAUAUUUGGCUAACCUCUAUCUAAAACGAAAAGUUUUGGAACUCUGUAAAUAGAAAUCCUUCUUUCUCAUACAAUAACACAGUAACAUCCACAAUGUAGUCAUUUACGAGUCUUGUCUCAAUGUAGUCAUUUACGAGUCUUGUUUAGGGAGAGAUUUUCUCCCAAUAGUUUUAUGUUUUCUUUAUUAUUAGGUUUUAUACGUAGGUCAAUUGAUGAAAUAAUAUAAUAAUAUUAGGCUUUUUAGUAUUGUUUUAUGUGCCUUUUGAAUUGUUACCAUAAUGGUUUGCAACCAAUUAGCUUCCACAUGAUGCCCUUUCGAUUUUGAACCCAACAAAAAUAGAUAAUUAAAUUCUUGUGACGAUUAAUAUGAGACAAAGAAAACUGAUAAUUAAAUUCUCUAUUCGGCUGUAUAUAAUAUAACGGCUAUCAAUUACUACAUAAGGACCUAGUCAUGAGAAUUCAAAUGUUAGAUUGUUAAUAAUAAGGUCUUGAGUUAAUUUAUCAAAACUAUGCUUUUAAAAUGAUGAUGUUAUAUUAAACAAUAAAGCAAUGUAAAAUCAAUGACUCCUACCUACCACGCAUGACAACUUCUUUUCAUAAUUUUUGUUGUCUCGAAGAUGAAAGGUGAGUACCACUCCACUUUAAUAGACUGUAAAUAAAAUUAGGUAGUGAAUAAACAUUCUAUAAAUGUUCUAAGGCUAUCUUUAUGAAUGAAAUUAAUUUAAUUUGUUCAACAAACAUUAAACUGCCGAAAGUUCUUUCUUAUGUUCCUAUUUUCUAGAAAUCCUUUUUUUUUUCGAUUACUGAAGCUGUAGCUACUAGCUACGACAUGAGUGUUUUAUUGCGUUUCAAAGUACAAAGUGCUAUCACAAUUGAAAUUGAGAUAUGUAAAAGUAAGACAUGAGUGUUGGGUUCGAAACUGAGAGAGUGUCAUACGGAAGUUCAUAGUUUGCUAAUUAUGGAAAUGAUAAUUUAGUUGAUAAAAAAAAAAGUUAAACUAAAAACAUAAUAUUAUUAAUAUGAUUUGAUCAACAGAUCUACAUAUUUGAAAAUCUAACAGCGAAAAACCAUUAAAUCUAUUGAGAGAAAUUGGGAGAAAUCUCUCUCUAAAUAAAACUCUUUAAAUUAUAUUGUGGAUGAUAUGAUGUUCUGACUUGACAAAAGAAAUCUUCAAUUUUAUUUAUAGAGAUGCAAAACCUUUUUUUAUUAAUUAAGAAAAAACUAAUAGGAAAGAGAUCUUUUCUUAAUAAGGAAAUUUUUUCUAACAAGAAAGAUAGUUAUAAUUCUGAUAGAAAAUCACGUAAAAUAGUAAAUUCAAGACAAAUCCUAACACUACGUGAUCGUAAUGAGAUGGUUCCAGAUCUGAGGUUGGCUAUGCGGGUGCAAGGGGGUUAAACUAGACCUCAUUCAAUUCAUCGAAAAUUAUACAAUAUAUAUAAAGUCAAUUUAUUUUUAUUAAAUAAAAAUUAAGUUUUUAAUCCUCUAAACACAUAUGAACUGCAACUCGACAGUCAAAAGGCUUGAUGUGUAGCCAUUGUUGUGAUUUAGAGACAUUCCUUUUACCUAUUUGAAUCUCGUUGCCAAAAGUUCUGAUUCCGCUCCAGUUUGGAAUUCCUUCACCCUCACAAAAAUGAGUCAUGCAAUAUGCAAAUCCAAAUUUAAUAAAGCCUUAAUACCAUAUCUGAUAAAGAAAUGAACUUUGAGCUCCAAGACCAUAUAAGGAGAUCAAGGACGCUUUAACCCAUCGAUGUGGGACUCCAACACUCACCGCACAUCCAGGGCUGGACAUCUGAAGUGUGGACAGUGGGGGGGCCGGCCAACAUUGGAAACAAUGAAUUGGGUGGGCCUGACUCUGAUAUCAUGAUAAAGAAAGGGGCAAAAUUCAGAAACAACAUACUUAUCCUCUUAAAUUAUGAUUUUCAUAGCAACAGUUUCAUAAUUACAUAAUAUACCAAGUUGUAUUUUGUAUUUUUGCAAACUGUUGCUACAAAAAUACAAAUAUAUCUAAUUUUUACUGCCCUUAUGAUGAUAUGUAUUUUGUAUUUUUGCAAACUGUUGCUACAAAAAUAUAAAUACAUACAAAUACAUAUGCUACAAAAUAUAAUUUGAUAAAAGUGUUGCUAUUUUUUAUAAUUUAAUACUUAAAGUAUGCUACUUUAUGUAUUUUUUUCAUAAAGAAAUGAAUUUUGGGUCUAACUCAACCUCAAAAGUUAGCUCAUAGGGGAGGGUUGCUCAAUACCACAUAACGAGACCAAGAACCUUUAACCCACCGAUGUGAGACUCCAACAAUAUCAAACAUCAAGUGAAUACGCCCCACCCUCACCCCCACCUCCACCCCCAGCCCCCCAAAAAAAGGAAAAAAAAGGAAAAUGAAGCGGAAAAAGUGACGAAUAAGUUAGAACUGUUGCAGCAUUGCUCUUAUAUGUAAAAUAAAUAAAAGUUUUAAUGAGUAGGCUAAGGUAGAUACAAAAAAAUAAUCUACUUUCGAGAAUGCAUUGGAUGUGUUUAGUAUCUCAUUCGGCAUUGACAAAAGCUGGCCAAGAUUUGAAAACAGGAAAAAGGAGAGAUGGGAAGAAAUUGUUAUGAGUUUUAAGCUAUACAUUGUUAAUAUAUAUUCUUAUAUUAUCAUAUCACAUUUAUUUGUCACGAUAACUUGUCUUAUUUUCAAGUGUAUAUAUCAUUAGGAUGAUUUGAAUAUGUCAAGAAUUUUCUUAAUAACACCCUUGUGAUGGGCCCUUCCACUGACCUUACGUAUAGCGGAAGCUUUAAUGCACCGAAUAACUUUUUUAACUUUAUAAUAUAUAACUAACUAAACUGAAAUAUUGGUAUUACUCUAGUACUUGGUGGCUAACAAUAUAUAUAGACCCAUGAAUGAUCAAUUAAAUGUUGUAUAGAUAUUUUUAGUGAAAUUUCUAUCCUUCUCAAUAGUGCUGUCAAAAGAAUGGAAAUCAAUGCCAAUAAUUUUGAUUCCUUGCAGAUGUAUAUAUACGCUCAGUUUUCCAUGCACUAUGUGACUAUGUCCUCCAUUUAGGAGUUUUGUUUUUUACAACCCAGCCUGCCUGCCUGCCUUUCUUUUGUUGGACAAAAUGACAAUGAAAAACGAAUUUCAAAGAUGGCUUGGAUGUAAAAUUAGAAUGAUUGAAUAUGGGGAGGUUGGAUCAGAGUAUACGUAGAACUUGCCCCUACUUUGAAGGUAGAGAGGUUGUUUUCGAUGGACCUUAGCUUAAGAAUAAAACAGUGUGAAAAUAUUUACAUAAGUGAAGAAGCCGCGAUAAAAUACUAUACAACAUACACAACAUGAAAAAAUCAUUCUGAACAAUAAUCAAAAUACAGAAAACAACAGACAGUAACCGAACUCAAAUGACAAAAAACUACAGGAGUAAUAAUGCUACAAAUGUCGGUAUGGUAAGGAUAAGUGAGAGAAUGCUCUACUACCUACUAAUCUUCUAUAUAUCCUAAUUUGUGUCCUCCACAGAAUCCUAUCUAAGAUCGUGUCCUUUGUAAGUAAGCUGAGACUAUUGUGCCGUAUCCUGUCUAAUCACAUCUCUCGAUACGUUUUUGGCUUAUUUCAACGGAGCUCCUGAUUGAAACCAUCCAUAUGAAAUCUAAAAUAGAUCUUGGUCCAACGACCAAUUUUCCUAAUCGACAAACCAAUCUGGGUAAACAGUUCAAAGAGAGUUGUUUAAAAAGUAACACACUUUAAUUUGCUAAGUUAUGAUUAGAAGGAUAUUAAUUAUGAUUCAAAAUUUACUAAGCCUGAUUUCACCAACUUUUUAGUGUUGCUCCCUUUUAGACACCUACAUAGGGUUAAUCACGUGUGUCACUGUUUUAAAUUUGGCCCAACUUCACAUUCAACUCAAAUGUAUAACGUUAAGUAGAAAAUAAAUUUGAAAGAAAAAUUGCAUGCAAGUUAUAAUUAAUUUUUGCAAAUUUCAGUAGAAACUAUCAGUCUGAAGUUUGAACUACAAAACACCCAAGGUUGAAAUUUCAGACCUCGGGUUUGAAUUUUAAUUCCAGGGCUGUAAUAUUUUCUAAAUUUCGACUAUGUUUUAAAUAGCGGUUCUAAAAGCGACUAUCGAGGCCCAAGUUGGAUGCAUGUUUUGGUAUAAAUCUUUGGGACUGUUUUGUUCAAGAGGCAAACUUCUUUUGGGCCUUAUCGUUGUAGUUACAGCUAUAACCAAACUAUAUACGCCCAAUUUGGAUAAAAUUGACCUUUCAAAGUCAUCCCGUUUUGGAAAAACACAAAUUGAAUUGUGGGAUCUGCCAUUGAUAACCCUAGGUGUGAUCCGUUCCCGCACUCUUCACGAAUGCGAUAUACUUUUUUAACACUUACAUAUAUUUAAAUAGAAUUUGAGAUCGCUUUCCUCGUGCGUUUCGGCUGCAGCAUUUUAAUGUUCUAACUGCAUCAUUUAGAAAGAGUUUUGUUGGUUGUUGACUUGUUGGAUCUGCAUUUACAUACCAACACCAGUGGAUAAUUUAUACUAGGACACAUAUUCUUUUAGUUUGUGUGUGAUUUGUAUGGAAAUUUUAUAUUUUAAGAUUGUUCAUACUUCUCUUUCAAAUUCCCACAUAAUAUAAUAAUAUUGAUUUAUGUUUCUCACCUACCAAAGUUUCCCAUAAUUUCGUAAUAGAAAUGUGUUCCGGGUUCCACUGCACGUUUGGUAAAGUUCAAAUUGUUUAAUCUAAACAAUUAUUGUGUCACACACUAAAACAAAGGGGAAUAUAUAAUUAUAUGAGAAAGUAAACGACCAUAAUCUUUGAUAACUAAAAUACUGUAUAUAUAUAAUUUCAUUGCACGAAAUCUCCUCUCCUAAAAUGAGAGAGACUAAACUGAGAUUAAAAAAUCACAAUGAUCAUAUUGUCAAGGGGCAAUGUAAUUUUCUUAUCCUGUCCAUCGACCAUCGACGGUUAAUUUUUUCCUCAAUUGUUUUUUUUUGGUGAAAUAAGGAAUAAUAAUUUCAAAAUAAAAUGUAAAAUUAUUCUAUUCGAUAUUUGAUUGAUAAAAUAUAAGAUUGUAAUGUGACAUUUGAUUUCUCUUUGGUUCACACUCGGUCAAACAAAGUUGCUGCCAAAAACUUUUUGGAAGAUUAUUUUUGGAUUUAUCAAACAAAGUUAAUACCAAAAAUUUUGUUGUAAAUUUCUCACUUCACGUGCAAAUGUUGAAAUUUAUAUCUUCCAUUAAUAUCAUUAUCAUGGAUGACAUCAACAAAUUCAUUUUCAUCUCUAUAAAUAGGGACCUUCUUUCUCAUUUAUAGUACACCAUUUAAGAAGAACACCAACAUUUGAUAAGAUUUAGUUGUGUUUAUUUUCUUUUUUGUAGAGAAUAUUUGUGAGAGAGUCGUGUUGAGAAAUACUUUAAGUGAACCUCAUAUUUGGAGUGAUAUUUGUGAGGUUAUUCUCUUGGGUAUUUGGGAUAUAAGAAUAUUUAAUUACUCUAAUUUUGUACUUUUUUUUGUAUUUUUUUGUACUCUCUUUUGUUCCGUUGGUGUUUAGUAAAGUUACUCCUCAUUUUGUAUGUGGACGUAGGUUAAGUUGAUCGAACCACGUUAAAUUUAUGCCUCCUUUAUUUUCUCAACUUAUCAUUAUUAUCAUCUUUAUUAUUAUCUUUAAUUGAUUAUUUUAUUUAAUUCCGCACUAUUCGGAUUUUCAAUCCUAACAAAUAUAAGAUAAUAAUCUCAUAAUUUGUACUGAAAAAAUAAAAUUGACUACUCCUAUAACAUAUUAUAAAUGAACUAUCCUUCUCUAUAUCCAUUUCACUAACCACACGACUCCUUUUUUUUAUUUGAAGACUAUUAAUUCCCUCCAUUUUAGUCGUCAUGAUUAUCGAAUAUUUUUUAAUCCAAAAUAUUUAAAUUUUUUAAAAAGUAAAAUAAAAUAAACUUAUUCAUUAUGCAUAGCCCUGUAAGUUCACCUACUCCCCUCACCAAUCCCCUAAGGUGGGACCACAAAUUCAAUAUUAUAUUGAAGUUGACCUGAAAAAGAAAAAAAAUGGUUGGUGAAACUACUUUCAUGAUAUAUAAUACCAAUUGAGAUUUUAGUUGGAAAAAACAAUACAUAUGAAUACCAUUUUACAAUAAAUACCCAAUCACUGCCAAAAAUAAAAUUCAUACCAACUCCCAGUAACUGCCCACCACCUACUCCAUUUCACCGGAAAAUGUCGUCGGAAGCCCCGGCACCGGCUGCAAACUUCUGGGGCGAUAUGCCGGAGGAAGACUACUACGCCUCUCAAGGAGUACGCAACUCCAAAUCUUACUUCGAAACACCACAUGGCAAGCUCUUCACUCAGUCAUUUCUCCCACUUGACCCAAACGUAUCUCUUAAAGCAACUGUUUACAUGACUCAUGGAUACGGCUCCGACACCGGCUGGCUAUUUCAGAAAAUAUGCAUUAACUAUGCUACUUGGGGUUACGCUGUUUUCGCCGCCGAUCUGCUUGGACAUGGCCGCUCCGAUGGAAUUCGAUGCUACGUUGGGGACUUGGAGAAGACUGCUGCUGCUUCCUUGUGCUUUUUUAAGAGUGUGAGGAAUAGUGAUGAGUAUAAGCAUUUGCCGGCAUUUUUGUUUGGGGAAUCUAUGGGUGGGUUAUCUAGUUUGCUCAUGUAUUUUCGAUCGGAGCCGGAUACUUGGACCGGGUUGAUUUUCUCCGCCCCGCUUUUCGUCAUUCCUGAACCUAUGAAACCUUCUAAGGUAAGUAAGUAUAUUUUAGUUAAUUGUUUCUCGUUAUUCCCUGCUUGCAGCUUGUUAUUAUCGAGUUCAUCUAAAUCCAGUACUUUUAAUAUACUUAAAUGGAACAAUCAGCAGAUAUGAACCCAUAAAUAUAGCAGGUGCAAUGCUAAGAACCUUAAAAGUUAAAACAAAAAAAAUCUUAAAAUCCUGGAUCCGAUUAUGUUUAUUGGCUCAUACUUUGAUGACUUAAUUUGACAUAGUAAUCCUACCGGGCAGCCGUGGAGGCAGGAUUUUGGUGGAUUCCAACAAUUAAAGAAACAAACACGUGAAGAGCUAAAAACAUUAGAAACUGUGACUAGUGGGAAUUGGAUCUAUUUUGUCUAAGAGAAUUUGAAUCCCGUUUACUGCUGAGCUAAGCUUUUGGUUUGUGUCAAACGAUCCAACAUCAUAUACAUACACACACAUAAAAAAAUAAAUUUAACCUUAUAUAGAAGGUGGUUUGGCCAUCUAGAUCCACCUAUGCUUCCUGGAUUGACCAUAGUCUUCAAUUUGUCGUUAGAUUUUAUUAGACUCUGUGCGAUGACCCUAAGUUGUUAUCCCUUUGGCUCAAAUUUAUUCAAAUAAAACAAAAAUUUUAUGAUAGAAGUUCGCUCACAUAGCUUAGCUAGUUAGAACAUAGGACUAGGAGUCCUUGUGUCAUUGGUUUGAAUCCACUUCUAAGCGGAUGAAGGAUCUAAACUAUGAAUAGGUGGCUGUUGAUCGGAUCCUGAAUUCAAACGAAAGAGUAAGCUAAGCAUGUAAGGCCUGUUAUUCAUAAGAAAUACUUAUUGAUUUCAGAGAGACUAAUCUGUGGAAGUCCAGUGAGAUCUCAAUUGGCAGCUAACCUUUGCUCUAAUGGCUAUUAGUAUGUGCGUUUAGAAAAAAGAAUUUUGACAUUCAUACUAAAUAUAUACUCCUAUAUCCUUAAGCUAAACUAGUUCUUUAUUUAUUUAGUUGAACUCCUGAUGAGUCACGUUGAUUCUAAAGGGCUUGUUUGGUAGAAGAGAUAAGGGAUAACUAAUUCCAAGAUUAAUUUUAGAAUGAGCUUAUCCCAUGUUUGGUUGAGAUAAAAUGCAUGGAGUAACUCAUUCGAGGAUUAUAGUGCUAGUUUUAUCCCACCUUGAGAGUGAGAUAGCUAAUUCCGGAUAACUUGUUUCCAACCAAACAACCCCUAAGAGAACAUGUAGGUAAUUGACUUAUUUAAGUAAGAAAGGUAUCAAUCUUGGUGCUACGAACAAAAGAGAGGGAGAGAGACAGUAAAGGUAUAUUUCUAUGUUCCUGUGAAAAAUGAAGAGGAUUGUAGGUACUAUUUAUAGAUUGAAAAUAUUUUGAAAAGAUUAAAAAAAAUAUUUCAACCUUUAAAAUUGAAAUUAGAAUUUCAACUUUUCAACCUUGAAAUUUCAACUUUCUUCAUUGAACUUUUUAACUUUCAAAUUCAUAAUGGUUUUAAAAUUAAGUUGAUAAUACUACAAUACAUGAUUAUAAUUAAAAUUUCAAAUUUAAUCGGGUUAGCAUUAAAAAAUUCGAGCCCACAUUAACCAGCCCGUUUGUGGCUCAUUACCUAACCCAGACUGGCUAGCCCGACUUAGAAUAGUAACCUGUUCAUAAGGAUUCCUAUGUUUUCAGGGAUUCUUCUGUAUAUGAAGUAGUUGCAAUCCCAUCUGGGUAAUCAAAGGCAGAGAUUCUAUUCAAAUGCCCUGUAUUCUGCACCGGGAAAACAUACUACAGAAUCUUCUCCUUCAGAGUCAAGGCAUUUUGAGCCCUAGCUAGUAUUGAGAUUGAGAGCCGUAAAGAGUCUGAAGAUCAGUCAUUCGACUUGGGAAUCCCAUCCAACUACAGAUAAGGGAGGAAACUACAAACCAGUCUUAAUUCCUACAGACUAAGAUUCAGUUUCAGGUUCUGGCCAAAGAGCAUUUCACUUCAAAUAACCUGCCCGGCCCAACCCAUUUAUUCUUUGCCCAAACCGGCCCGGUUCCGGUAAUCAGUAACAAUAAAACUUUUUGGGCCGGUUUGGCCAGGACCUGCCUACACGGCAGGUAUAGUUUUGACCCCCUUCCUCCCCCUCCCCAAAUGUUCACUCAUAAAUUAAACCAUCUUUUCUCUUUGAAAUAGAGUAAAAAACCUAUCUGUUUCUUCCAUACUUUUUUGUUUGUUUGUUGGAAGGUCAAUACAAUAUGCACAACUAUUGCUGGUCUUGCUUUUGGGAGGCUCCUAUAGACAUUUCAGAUUAGACUUGAUCCCCGUUAGAGUCCUAUUUUCUCUCUUUUUGAACGGUGGCUUACCUACAACCCUUAUGUAAAUAAGAUUGAUGCAUAUACCCCCAUCGAACCAAAUUGUACCUCCUUUUCCCAUUGGCACUCUAAUCAAAUUGUCAGUCUUAAAUUAUACUACGUAUUGAUUCACAUUUUAAGAAUAGAAUUUGGAUCUCAGAAAGUUCUUAUUUUAAAUGAUAUAUUUGAAAAUCAUGACUAAAGUUACUUCUUUUCUGGUGAAAGGACUAUCAAUAAUGAGAGCUUUGCUUUUUACCAUGUAGGUACAUUUAUUCGUGUAUGGACUGCUAUUUGGAUUUGCCGAUACAUGGGCGGCUAUGCCAGACAACAAAAUGGUGGGCAAGGCUAUAAGGGACCCUGAGAAACUGAAAAUAAUCGCAAGCAAUCCCAGGAGAUAUACCGGAAAGCCAAGGGUUGGAACUAUGAGGGAGAUUGCCAGGCAGUGUGAAUAUGUCCAGAACAAUUUCCACAAGGUCACUGCUCCAUUUUUUACAGCUCAUGGUACCUCGGAUGGGCUUGCAUGUCCUACAGGCUCACAAUUGUUGUAUGAGAAGGCAAGCAGUGAGGACAAAACCCUCAAGAUUUACCAUGGAAUGUAUCAUUCCUUGAUCCAAGGGGAGCCUGAUGAUGCUGUCAGUCUUGUUUUAGGUGAUAUGAGGGCUUGGAUUGACGAGAGGGUUGAGAAGUAUGGUCCAAAAAUCAAUGGCUCUGCAUAAUACUUUUCAACUUUGAACUCUGCUUAAUCGAUGUAUUCUUUUGUGCUUGACCCCAAAUUUGGUAGUUGAGCGGACCACAUCUGGCAAACUAUACGCCUUAAAGAAACCAUAGUAUUUUUAAUUACUAUUCGUCCCAGAUAUUAUCUCUAUUUGUUCCUUGAAUAUGCCAGUGUUUCAAUGUCUGGUAAUGUUGUUGUUGGUUGAAAAUGUGAUGUAUGAAGGAAGAGGUUUGGCAAUUGACCGCAACAUGGUAAAACCUGAAUUUAGGUAUUGUUCUGUAGUGUGGGCACAAAGUUCUUAUCCCUGGUGCUCCAAAAGACGCGGUAAUGUCGUUUUCACUUACCUACUUCUAAGAUUUUAGAGUUCAACUGAAGGCAUCUUUUGACAUUUCGGAAAGGCAUGGCAACAAGUAUACUUCUCUUUCAUUUCUGGUGGAAUGGGGAACAGAAUAAUCAAUAGUUUGGUAGAAGCAACAUGGGGCCCUUGUUUUAUUAGAAAAACUUUAAUGUGCCUCACACUACAACUAAUAAUCCUUUUUGUGAUACAAGAAAGUGGAUUUUUUUUUUAAUCCAGGUGUUUACAUUAAACCAAUAUAUGCAUGCCAUGUGUUUGGAUAUAGAGUUUAUUUUACUUAAAUACAAUUAAUUAAUAUGUAUUUUACUUCAUUAAAUCACUGAAUCAUGGUAAAUUACAUUAGUUUUUACCCAAGAAAGUGCACUAGAAUAUUAGUUUUUACCCAAGAAAGUGCACUAGAAUUUGUAGAUCCAAAAGUGUAGCCAUUUUUUGUCUCACUCAAUUAAUGUUUAGUUGUUUGAGUCGCACAGUAAAAUUUCUAAGCAGAGAGAAGUUGGUGGUCUAUUUAGCUGCCUAAAACAAUGUAUGCUCUCAGUUCCUUCAGCACGCUACUCCAACUUGAAAGAACGAGUCGUAGGUUGCUAUUAGCUUCGACAUUUAUAGCAUACAUUGGAAGGGAAAAGACAUCGUUUUCACCUCAAACUAUACCUGAAAAGUCGAAGCUACACCUAAAUGACCUAUUACACACCUAAACUAUCAAAAAGUGAAACUAUUUACACCCUGUCAGCCUACCACCACUUGCAUGUGGCGUAGUGUUUUACACGGGCUGCCACAUCAACAUCACGUCAGUAAAAAGUAUCAUUUUCUUAUAGUUAAGGUGUGUAAUAGGUCACUUAUAUAGUUUAGGUGUGGAUUCGACUUUUUGACUAUAGUUUGGGGUGGAAACGAUGCCUUUUCCCUUAAUGUUUUUAGCCGUUUACUUUUGUUAUUUAAUGGGCUGGACGCGCCUAAAAUAAGUGUAACACACGCGCCUUAGAAUGGGGGUUGCGGGAAGGUAAUAAUAUUACUUUUAUAUAGUUAAGGUGUGUAAUAGGUCACUUAUAUAAUUUAGGUGUGGCUUAGACUUUUUUUGUAUUGUAUGGGGUGGAAAUGAUGCAUUUUCCAUNNNNNNNNNNUCCCUACAUUGGAAUAAGACAUGGAUGACGGUAUUAGAUUUACGGCAAACAACAUAAAUUUUGACAAUUUGGAGCUUAAUUAUGGAAAAUUCCGACAUUUUACGUAAAUACUGAAAAUAUCGAUUUGGGUCUGUCAAGAUACAUAAUUAACUCCCGAUACAUUCAACGAAGAUACAUUUUUUUCUUUGUAAAUAUACAAAAUUAACUUCAAAUACAUUUUUUUCGAUUUUGAAUCUAUCAAGAUACAUAAUUAGUUUCCUGAUACAUCUAAUAAAGAUACAUAAUUAGUUGAGAUUUUUGUAAUUAUUUUGUAAGGAGUGAGAAUUUAUGUAAAUAUGAUAAGUAAAGGCGUAUAUUUAUGUAAUUUUUCCUAAGAUUUAUUGCAGAGUUGUGAUGGUCCAUAUUGAUGCAUGAGCUGCUGACCCAAGUCUAAAGAAGAUACCCAAUUUUGGGCCGUAAGAGAUUCAAUUUUCCUAGCUUAACUUAAUACAAGACCAACCUAGGAAUACCAGAUGUACAUUUCCCAGGGAUUUUUACACUACAGCAGCUAGCCCGAUAAACACAACAAAAAACACUUUAAUCUAAACAUCUAGCAAUGUUAAGGUCAAUAUAAUCAUAGUAUAUCUAUCUAUCUAUCUAUAUAUAAUUUGUAUAUAUACGUUAUACACUAACUAUACUGAGUAUACAUCAACAACUUGUACAAAAAGUUAUGUCUAGGCGGAUAAAUUAUUUUUAAAAGCGCUGAAUUAAUAAUAUUAAGAUCUUGAUAAAUUUGUAGAUAGCACCAAUAGCUAUCAUCCAUGAAAUUGUGUCUUGCAAGAAGAGGAAAAUGUGGAGUGCAAAGCAAGGCUGCCCAGAGCCGUAGCUGCAGAGAGCACAGAAACAAAUACUUCCUCCGUUUAAAAAAGAAGGACUUAGUUUGACUUGACACGGAGUUUAAGAAAAUAAUUUGUGGCGUUAAAUUAAAGAUAUGUCAAAUGUGUCAAAGUAUCCUUCAAUCUUGUGAUCUGAAACAUGUCACGUGGAAAAUUAAAAUUAAAAAGUUACUAAAAAGAAAAAGAAUUAUAUUUUUUUUUAAAUAAAGUUUUUUAACGGAGGGAGUAAUAGGAGUAAUCAAGAUAGGCGAUCACCAAUAAGGUCCCCACUUCUAACUGUUCCAAGAAAUAUCAGGUGCUUCACGCAAUUCACAACCACCCCAACCUUUACCAACACUUUUUAAAAGGCAUGGAUUUGUCAAUCAAACUUCAUUUACAUACUUGAGUUACAAUUUGUUUUUGUUAAGUAUUUGAAUAUAUGAUAAAGAUAUUUUAAUUAUAUACUUCCCAUUCAAAAUAUUGAAGAAGUUUUCAGUGUGUAUUCUCCAUCAUUUAUUAUGUAAAUCAGUAAGCUCAUUCAAAAUAUAUCAUCCUCUUUUGUUAUAUUCAUUAUAAGCCUCAUUAUUUUGUAAAACCUCAUACAUGUUCCAAUUCAAGCUGAUGUGUAUAAUUAAGGGAAAAAAACAUGUAUUUACUCAUCAUUUUUGACAAAUUAUGAAAAGAUAAAAUUUAUUUUUCAUGUUUUACCAUUCACUAAUUAUUCUCCAAAUUAUUUUCCAAUAUCUAUUACUCUCUCCAUUUCAUAUUAAGUGAAUUGUUGAGAUUUUUUCAUAAUUUGAAAUAAGUAAAUUUGUUAAAAGUCAAUGAGAAUUGUUGAAACUUUUUUUUACAUAUUUACUCUUUCAUUUAAUGAGGUUCUUAAGUAUUUCUAAUUUUUACAAAAAUAAUUUUAGAAUAAUUUGAAGGAUAAUAGUGGAAAAUAACCUACAAUUUAUGUUCUUAAUUUUUUAUUUUUUUUUAUUAAGGAAUGUGUCAUACUCUAAGAAUUCACUCAAUAUGUGGAAUGAAGGAAGUACUAAACAUCAAUUAAUAGGUAUAAUUAGAUAAAGUCACCGUAUCAAUUAUGUGUGCUAAGUCAAAAUGUUAGAAGAAAGUAAAAAUAACCAUAAAACCGAUAUCUAAGCCUUGCACUUUCACAUUAAUUCCUUUCAUGCCCAUGCUCAUUAUUUUAGCAAAUGGCCAUCUAAGGACGUCUUCAGUAUUUGGAAUCAAAUUAUGGGUGUGUUUGGUACGAAGAAAAACAUUUUUUGAAAAAUAUUUUUCAGUUUUUUUUUUGUUUGGUUGUGUUAUAUGUUUUGAAAAAUAUUUUUCAAAUUAAUUUAAUUUAAGGAAAAUAACUUUCCUUCAAAAAGUAAGGAAAAUAUUUUCAAAAACUCUCUUUCAAGCUUAUUUUAAAGUUGAAAUAUUCGUACAAUUCUCAACAUCAUCUACUCCGCCUUCAAUACCCUAUCACCUCGACACCAGCCCUACCCCCACCUCUGCCCCUACCCUCACCCCUCCACCCCCAAAAUUCAAUUGUUUUAAAAAGUAUUUCAAAAUUUCUUCUUAAUCUAUUCCCUACCCACAACCCCUACCCUACCAGCCUCCUUCCAAAAAUUAUAUCUACAUUUUAUUAAUUCAGGGUUUAGGGUUCAGGGUUCAGGGUUCAGGGUUCAGGGUUUAGGGUUCAGGGUUCAGGGUUCAGGGUUUAGGGUU
rnacentral:lncRNA from 1 species